AGAGAGAGAGAGAGAGAGAGAGAGAGAAGUAAACGAAACAUGUGAUAGAAAGGAGACUCCCAAGUUUGAUCUUACUAUUUUGAUUAUUCAUGCUGGUAAGUUUGAUCUUAUCGAAAUCUCGACUUGAACCUAAUAAUAAUAAUAAUAAUAAUAAAUGGAUUGUUAUCUUUUGUAGUAGAAUGGAUCCAAAGUAGUGUGGGAAGAGAUUGCAUGCAAAGUCAAAUCUCAACACGUAGCACGACCUUUUUCACCCACUCGGUUGGCAAAGUCAAAUCUCCGUAUCAGUUAAAGUAAUUUGAUUCUAGAAAUAGGGUACGAGUGAGAAAGUUCUCUGUCACUUCCUAAAUGUUAAAAUGAUACAUAUGAUGGAUGUUCUCAUGGUUUAACCUAAAAUCUAACAAGCAGGACAGCAGACUUUGAAAAAGAUUAUUUUUAUCCAUCGAUUAUUAUAUCAUAUGAUCUUAUUUAAUUAGAUUAUAUAUAUAUAUAUAAUUAAUUAAUUAUUUUAAUUAUAAUUAUCAAUCAAUAAAAAAUAAAAUAAUUAUGAUAUAAUUCCUUAAAAGAUAAAAUUGAUGGGAUUACAUAACUCUCACAUCUCUCUUUAUUUUCUAUUCCUUCAUUUAUAUUAAUUCUGAAUGAUAGAAAAAAAAAAGGAAAAUAUGAGUUUAAUUAUCCUUAUAAAUUAGUAUUAUUGUUUUCUUCGGAUCCAACAAUGAUGUAUAUACAGAUCAGGUAAAAGUUUUUUUAAUGAUAUCAAAAGUUAUACAAUCUUGAUCUUGAUUUAUUGUUAUUUAAUUUUGAUUCUAUCAUUAAAGUUUUUCUAUAUAACAAAAAUAUUAUUAUAGUUUUUUAUGUUUAUCGUUACAAUUUUAUUUGAUUAAAAUAAGAUAUUUCAUAUCAAAACAUAGGAUAACACCUAUUAAAAUUUCGUUUAGAUUUUUUUCUCUCUCUUUAAAGAAAAUAUUUAUGCUCUUAUAGCUCAUAAAAACAUUAGCCUACUUUAUGGCAAAACUUAUGGCUUGAGUAUCAAAGAAAAUCAAUGAAAAUGCCUCAAUGCUCUUUAAACUUUAUCGACAUCUCUGAGCACUAAUUAACAUAUUUAUCAACCAAAUUAAACAAGACACUCUCUUAGACCCAUUCUCUAACUCAUCUUAUGGUGCUCUUCUAAGUUUGUGAUGUUGUUGGUUCUAAAAAUAACCUAAUCAAUAGUAUUCUUUAACUCAUCUUUACAUAGUCCCUAUUUUAUCAUCUAUAGUGAUUGUAUAAAUGAAAGGAAAAGAGAAGAAGACGAGUCUAGUUCUCCUUACAUAUAAGUAUUACUAUUUCUUUUGGAUCAAACGACGGUGCAUAUAUAGAUUAAAUAAAAGUUUUUUGAAUGAUAUCGAAAAAUACGUAACUCUUAUCUUUGAUAUAUUGUUAUUUAUUUUAAUUUUGACGUUAAAGUUUUUUGUAUAACAGAAACAUAAUUAUAAUUUUAUGUUUACCGCUACAACUUUGUUUGAUUAAAAUGAUAUAAUUCAUAUCAGCACAUAGGAUAACACCUAUUUCAAGUGGCACAUCGUUAUUCUAUUGAUAUUAUAAAAUAUUAUUUAUAUCUUUCUCUCUCUCUCUCUCUCUCUCUAAAUGAAAUAUUUAUUCUCACAAAGCUCACAAAAACGUUAGCUUACUUCAUGGAGAAACUUUUGGCUCGAGUAUGAAAGUGAAUCUCGAGAAUGCCUUAGUGCUCGAGAACUUUCGGCAUCGCUUAUCACUAAUUAAUAUAUUCAUCGAUCCAAUCAAACAAGACACUUUCUUAGACCCAUUCUCUAACUUAUCUUAUGAUCCUCUUCUAAUUUGUGAUGUUGAUGGUUCUAAAAAUGACUCGAUCAACACCAUCCUUAGAAAUUUGUACGAAUGAUCAACAUAUGAAGCAAUCUAAAAGGUAGUCGAAUGGACUUGAUAAAUAAUCAAUUAUGAAGCCAAGAGAGAGAGAGAGAGAGAGAGAUUAAAAGAAAGAGUCAUUAGGUUUUAUGAGAAAUAUAGAAAACUAAUAAAAGCUAUACCCAUACGUAGCAAAUGACACCCAAAAGUACACGGAUUGAUACGCCGAUGGUGACACUCCCGGUGGCCUUCACAUCGUAAUUGAAAUUUCAGCCACCGUUGUCUUGCAUGUCUCACCUACUCGCUCUCUGAUUGGACACAUCACAAUCGGGCCCACCAAAGUCACCUCACGUCUCCGGUGACGUUUCUAAGAAAGAAAGCUUAAACAAGAGAGAGACAGAGACAGAGAGAGGGAUGCCAAUAACCCGUCGACCAUAACACUCACUGAGAACAGAACCCAAACCUUUCGGGCUCGUAUCCGUCAAUAUGUCUCGAUGAGAAGGCCAUGUUGUUCGUUGAUGUUAUAUCUAACACAUCACAUGGAUCCUACUUAGCCUUCUUCGUUCGCUCUCCUCCAUCGCCGAACUAUGCUGUUCGUGUCAGAUAGAUCGUAGCGGUCUCUUCUCUCUUCGUUGCCUCAGUUAAUGGGAGGAUUUCGACCAUCUUUAAGGACAACGUGGCGACUCUUCCGCCGCGAGAAAUCUUAAUCGACGUACGUAAACUCGGUCAGAGGACGAGGAGGAGCUAAGCGGCCGAACGGGACGGACUUUGAGAGAAGACCAUCGAUUCCACAUCUUAAUGAUGCGAGAUUAACAUGGCGAGACUCCUCUUUUAACUCUCAGGGAGAUGUGGACGGUGAUCCCGACGUUGUUGUCCCUCCUGCCUCGCUCAUGGCGAGGAGAACCCAAGCGAGCGACCGACCGACCGAGCCAAUGCCGACGACGGCCCUGUCCACGCUGUAGAAUCUGACUUUUCCUCCACAUAACCAUUAUGACGAGUUCUUACAUGGCUCAAAAUUGACUCGAUAUCUUUAACCUCUCGGAUAAUUAUAAUCUACUCGAUUUAUAUUAUAUUAUAAAUUACGAAACACUUUACAUAUUAUAUACUUAUCAUUAUAAUCCUACCGGCGUUGCGUUUAACAGUAUGCGACUAUUCCUAUUACUGCGUUCGAGCAGGGAAGCAAAAGUCAAAAGUCUUCUCAUCUCUACCGCCUCGUUAGGUCGACGCUAGUGGCGGUGAUAUGCGGCAGUCCAAUUUUGUUCCACGCAUUCUUUUCACGUGCCUUUUCUUUUACUCCCACGAUUCGUAUCCUUACGCGAGAUUAAACCUCACGUGACGGUAAUCCUUCGCUUCAUCCGUCAUCGUUCCCAAUUCCAAAAUCGAAGUCAAUUCGAGGACUAAUAACGCCCUACUUUUUUUUUUUACCUCUUGAUUUCGUUGUAAAAAGGUCUUUAAUUAAUUAGAAAGCUAAUAUGAUAAAAGUUUAUAACGAGAUAUCUCAAAAUAUAAAAAUAAUAUAUGAGAGAUGUUAUGGGAAGAAAUUGACGUCCUGAUCAGUUCAACAUGUCAUCAAAAUAAAAGCGAUCAACUUCUCGUAUAUUAUCUAUUUGAAAAUCAAGAUUGAAAUUUUUUUUUUGAUUUAAUCUUUUCGAUGUACAUAUUAGUAAUCCGAGAUAUAUGAGUGUUACAGUGAGUGAUAAAAAAAAUAAUCCCCUCAUUUUUAUAAAAUAAAUAAAAAUAUUUUAUAAAAUAAUUUAUUUGAAUGAUGUUUUUAAUCGUUUAAAACAAUCCAUCGUUGAACUCUUAUUUAUAUACGCGACAGUUCAUAAUUAUUUGUCUUGGACUCUUACAUAUAUGGGCAGACGAAUAGUAGAUAAUCCCUUUUUUUUUUCAAUUUGAAUUUUAUGUGAUGAUCAUAUGUAUUAAUUAUCAGUAUACUCUAAAAAUACAAAAAAGAGAUUUGAUUCUCCCGUCUUCUAGAGAUGAGCAUUCAUCAUCUCACAUGAUUUAGAAAUUUUAAAUAUUUAUUUUCAAUUAUUUAAUAACCGUAAUAGAAAAUAAAUAUAUAAUAAUUUAACCUUGGGUCGCAAAUAUGUAUAGCGUAGAUUACAUGUACGUAUGCAAAGCAGAGAACGCAAUUAGGCCGCGGGAAGAAUCCACGUGACCGAUUCCUCUUUCCCAGGUCAGAAGGUGGAACGCCACCGCUUGGCUUAUCUGACCUGAGAAGUCGGCGCCGACGAAAGUAAACGCUGUCGGCUCCGCCAAUAGAAUCUCCCACACAAAGUCAAGAAAAGGGUCAAAACCCCUUUCUUUCUUUCUUUCCUUCCAUGUAAGUGAUUUUUUAUUUACAAAACAUACAAUUAAUUACUUUUUGUUUUUGUUUUCUCCACAGAAAUGUUGUUGUUUCCAUGUCAUUAGAGUCCUUUCCUUUGUCCAAAUCUCAGUAACCAUUAAAAUUGAGCAACGCAAGCACUCAUGCCAAUAGAUGCUGUCCUGUUUUCCUUCCACAGGUUGCGGUCAAAGUUUUGGCGAUGAACAGUCCCCGGAUCUCAAAACACAGAAAGUCAAACAGUUUACUUUGUCAUUUGUCAACUCCUAAAAUAUAACGCCCUCAGAUUUCCUCCUAAGAAAGCAGGAAAUCAUGUAUUGGUCAUGGAACACCUCAACCACAAACUUAGCAUUUCUGUCACAGGAACUUCCUCCUCCCAUACCGCUACCCCGGGUUGACUUUCUUGGUCUUGAAUCUUCCCCCAAUCUCUCGCCUCUUCUAUAUAAACGCCCAUUCCAUUCGUCAACCCCCACCAAUAUAUCCUUCCCUUCGAUUCCAUCCUACCAAGAAAGGAACCCAAAAUCUCUUCCUUGCCUCAUCUGUUAAGAUCCUAAAACUUCCCUACAAAACCUCGCAGUGGAAUUCUUCCUGUACCUUCCUACCUGCUGUCUUCGAUGGAGGGAGUGGAGGUCCCUUCCUACUUUCUUUGUCCUAUAUCGCUGGAGCUCAUGAGAGAUCCGGUGACCCUGACGACCGGCAUCACCUACGACCGCGACAGCAUCGAGCGGUGGAUCUUUGACAGGAAGCAGAGCACAUGCCCGGCCACGAAGCAACCCCUGGAGGACCGAGAGCUCACCCCGAACCACACCCUCCGGCGGCUGAUCCAGGCGUGGUGCACCCUCAACUCCUCCAACGGCGUCGAUCGGAUCCCGACCCCGAGGCCCCCCAUCGACAAGGCGCAGAUCGCCAAGCUCCUAGAGGAAGCCAGACUGCCCCAGUUCCGGCUUGGCUCCCUGCGGGAGCUUAGGACGAUCGUCUCCGAGAGCGACAGGAACAGGCGGUGCGUCGAGGCCACUCCCGGCGUCGUCGACUUCUUGGCUUCCGUCAUAGUCAACUACGGAUCGGAAGGAGAAACCGGUGAUGGCUCGGAGUCCGCGAGCGCUUGCGAUGAGGCACUCGUCCUCCUUCAGACUCUUGAAAUCUCUGAAGAAGGCCUCCUCGAUGUUUUCGUGAAGAACGGCGGCAUAAUGGAGUCGCUGUCGAUGAUCCUACGACGAUCGAACUACCAGUCGCGGAGCAAUGCGAUGCUUAUUCUGAAUUCUUUACUCGGAGUAAUCCCGCCGGCUCGAUCGAUCGGUCUCGGCGGGGAGCUGUUCCAGGAGAUCGUGAACGUGGUGCGUGACCGCAUCUCACAGCAGGCGACCAAGGCGGCACUGCAUGCGCUCCUCAGACUGUGUCUAUACGGAAAGAGCCGCGUCAAGGCGGUGGAAGCAGGAGCGGUGCACGCCCUCGUCGAACUGCUGCUCGAGAGCCCCCAGAAGAGAGUCUGUGAGCUGGCGUUGGCGGGCCUGGACUGGCUCUGUGGUUGCGCCGACGGGAGGGCGGAGCUGGUUCGCCACCGGGCGGCCAUCCCUGCGGUGUCCAAGAAGAUACUCCGGGUGUCGCAGCUGGCGAGCGAGAAGGCGGUGAGGAUAUUGCACUCGGUGGCGCGGCACUCGGCGACGGCGGCGGUGCUGCAGGAGAUGAUGAACGUGGGGGUGGUCUCCAAGCUGUGCCUGGUGCUCCAAGUUGGCUGCGGGGGGAAGAUGGAGGAGAAGGCCAGGGAGAUCCUAAAGUUGCACUCCAGGGUUUGGAAGGACUCCCCAUGUUUAUCUCCUCUCUACAGCUCUACGUAUCCGAUGUCAUACUGUACAUGAAAGAUCUCUUUUAGCUUCUUUCGAUGGGCAUGAAGGCAUGUCCUCGAAGCCGAAAUAAACCAUUUAAGAAGACCCUAUGACGUGGUGGGUCCCACUUGCACGACUAUUAAAGAUGACGUGGUGCUUUCCUAAUUCCUUUUGGCAUCUGAUUCUGGUUUCUGAUUGGAUUCCGUGCCCAGUGGCGGUGCCCUGCCUCGGCGAAAACGGGUAGGGAGAACGUGCCCGUCGUGGCCACGCUACUGCUACUCUAGCCGUUGGAUGAUGGUCGUUCCCAUCGGACGGAUGCGGCUUUCGCGAAAUCCUUAAUGAAGGGGGAAACGAAGAGAGUCCUUCGAAGGCGGCAAAAGCGGGAACCUCGGAACUCUUCUCCGUCCCUCACUUCUCCGAUCGACGACCGAGAUCGAGAUCGAGAUCGACGUGGGGAAACAUGGGGCUUCUCUCGAACAGGUACGGAUCCUUAUUUGGUUGUCGUUUUUGGAUCGAAUUUUCUCUUCUUUGUGGUUGUUUCGACCUGCUUUUGUUUGAAUGAUGGAUGGCUUUGUUGGACUUGACAAUCGGUAAACUUAGGAUCGGGAAGGCGAGUUUGAAGCCGGGGGAUCACAUCUACUCGUGGCGCACCGCUUACAUCUACGCUCACCACGGUAAGAUUCUGCGAUCCAUCUUCUUCUCUGUAUUUGAUUGGGUUAUUGAAUUAUAAUUGCUUUGGAUGGGCUCCGAUGGAUGCAAUCAUGGAAUCGUUCUACUUAGUUGUAUAAUUUGGUACGAUUUGUAUGAGUUUCGUGUUUGUGUUGGAUAAUCGUUGGUGAUAUUUCACGUUUCAUGGAAUUCUUAUCCUUCUGAUGAAUGUCUUAAUUCCCCGUCAACUAUGUCUAAAAGACAAAUCUUGUUUGAAAUCAAAUCAGCGGUGGAAAGUGUGUAUGAUGAAAUUGAACACGAGAUUUUAAGCUUAAUUUUCGAUUCCUCCAAUUGCGACUUGGAUCCACUCUCUCGAUGAUAUCUUUCUAUCGAAUUUCGUUGUCACGAAGAGAAGGUAUAUAAUUCUGAGUUAGGUGGUUAAAAAUGUUUCCUGUUUAGCUUUUUAAGCUUCCCCGUCUGGAAGCAUCUUAAAAAAAAAAUUUGAUGUUGCUUGGAAACCUUUGCAUUAGUUUCGAUCAUUCUUAUCGAAAGCCAGCUAUAUUUUUAUCAGCAAUAUGCUUCUGGAUUUUAUGCUCCGUCAAGUGCUGCUGGUGCCAUGGGUAGUCGAUUGCUUCAUCACGCACAAACAUGGUGAAACGUUUUUCGACAUGGCUUGUGGCCUUAUAUUCUGCUGCGAUCUCUUUAUUUUAGUUUCCUUGUCAUUUUACAUGUUCCUGAUCUUUCAUCGAGCCAUGUUUAGAUCAGUGAUAGCAUAGGGUGGUGUUACUAUGAGCUUAAGAGGAUAGUUAUCUCUUGUAUGUUAAUGUGUUUGUUCCAUACAUGUUAGAAUUCUUUAUCUUCUAAAUAAAACUAUCCAAAAGUGAUAUUACAAUACGUGAAGACCGAUUUCCACUGUAUUUAUGAGGUCAUCAUAUAUCAAUUUUGGAGAUAUAUAUCUCUUGUCAAUUCUGUAUUAUCGUGCAAUAUGAUAGAUUCGACUGAUAGUGCAUUGCUUUCUUUCUACGCUAAGCCAUGAUCUGUGAUAUUAGUGAGUUUAUUCAGAUUCGACUGAUAGAGCUUCGGUCUGUUCAGUCUUGACAAUUCUUCAUAAAAUUAUGGAAGUUCCUAUUAUUAAAUGUAUCCACUUUCAAGUUGAAGAAAUAAAUUGUUGACGCAAAACUGAAGUACCAAUGUUUUACAAUUUACUCAUAAAGCUUAGGCUUGUUGUUUCAACUUACGAUCUCGAGGAGGAGAAGGAUCAAGGAUAGGAUAAAUGAAUUAGGGACUAUAGUUUGUUGAAUAAUACAUUGGAGAGACAUUUGAUGGUUAUAAGUUUGGCUAAUUAAUUACUUUCUGACUUUUGAAGUUGGCCUUCAUCGACUUAUAAAUGUAUUUGAUUACCGUAAGCUAGUUUUGUCAAAUUGUCGCUAGGUGUUGGCCAUCAUCAUCAACCAACUGGGUGACCUUCCAAUAUGAACUUUUUUUCAGCAUCACUGUUCAUGUUUUUAGUUCCAUCAAGUUUUCUCUAGUAAUUUAGCAUUUGAAACUUGUUGGUUAUGCACCUAAGCUUGAACAAAUCUACUAGUAUCAAUUGGUUGGCAAUGUGUUUGUUUGAAUUAUAGUACCUGAUAUUAAUUAGAAGAAAUGUUUAUAUAAUUUUUGCUAUCUAAAUUAAAAACAACAGGUAUCUAUGUUGGUGAUGAUAAGGUGAUCCACUUCACAAGAGGAAGAGGCGAAGAGGUGGGAACCGGAACUGUUCUAGAUGUGUUUCUCAGUAGCUCCGGACCCCAUAGAGCCCCCUGCUCGACAUGCACCAAUCAAGCAUUGGAGUCGCGUGGAGUGAUGUCUUCUUGUCUCAAUUGUUUCCUUGCUGGUGGGGUCCUAUACCGCUUCGAGUAUGGGGUCAGUCCUGCAUUGUUUAUUGCCAAGGCUCGAGGUGGAACAUGCACCCUCGCAGUUUCUGAUCCAUCUGAGAUGGUCGUCCACCGAGCCAAAUACCUGCUUAACAAUGGUUUCAGAUGCUACAGUGUGUUCAAAACCAACUGCGAGGAUUUUGCCAUCUAUUGCAAGACAGGUAUUCUUGUGGCAGAGCGAGGAGUGGUUGGACAAAGUGGACAGGCAAUAUCAAUAAUCGGUGGGCCACUCGCUGCUGUCCUCUCGACACCGUUCCGCCUCAUCACGACCAAUGUGUAUGGAAUGGCGGUGACGGCCGUCGGAGUUUAUUGUGCCAGCCGGUAUAUUGCAGACAUUGGCAACCGCAUCGAUGUGGUUCGGAUUCCUGUGGAGGAACUCACGGCAGGACUAGCAUCUGGAAGGGUUAGGAUAGCGGAGGGUGCAAAUCAUCUGACUCUGCCUCAAUGACAGGAAGGAGGGUAAAUCUACUUAUUAUUAUCAUCAUAUGGAACGAAUCAUUCCUCCUCUCCCUCCUCAGUCUGAUUCUGCAGUCUGACAGAUACAAGUUAUAAUAAUAAUGUGUGUCUUCCUGCCAAUCACAUCAUAUAUACUGUUUGAUGAAAUAGAUGACUGAUUAUGGCUUCACUUGUCACGGCACUAUCGUGUAUAUCUCUAUUUCUUUGGCCGCCGAAUAUGUCAGAGCGGAUACUGUUGAUAUAUAUAUAUAUAUAUAUAUAUUUGCUUAAUAAUUUCCUUGCAAAUAUGUUAUUCUGGCAGCAUAAUAAAAUGUGUCCGACAUGGUGAAUCAUCUUUGGUGUCUUGAAAAUAAGUCAUCUACGGUUGGGAUAUUAUAUUCCAAUAUUAUUUGUAUAUGGAAAUAUAAAGAUAUAGAUGAGGAGAGAUUUGACAUGUAUAAUUUUUAUUUAUUUAAAUAAUUAAAUACAACUCAAAGUCUCUGACUCCUUUGAAGAUUAAUCCCAAACAAACAAAAAGAGGUUGAUAUUUACGUUUCGUAUAAUGAAUGGUAUGAUGACGUAGGAAGUCACGGACGAGUGGCGGCCACGUUGUCUCACCUGUGCCGACCCACAUCGGGUUCGAUGCUUGGGGUCCAGAAAGCUCUACACGUCAAUAGAAAGGUUCCUUCCUUGUUGUGCACGGGUCCCACCACAUCGAGCAAGAGACCAAAAUGGCUGCACCCACCCCAAGACACGUCGACAACGUCUUCUUUGCUGCAUAAUUACGUUCUCACUCUUGUCUCUGUCGUCUCAUAUAUAAAGAUCAUGACUUAUGUUGAUCAUGCCACGCAUGACCUUCUGAUUGUGAUCGUCACCUUUCGACUUUUGGCGGGCUAAUCCUCGUUAUUAUUAUCAUUAUCUUCAUGUGGAUAGCAUAAGUGGGCCACGUCAGGAUAGUUAAUCGUGAUUAGGAGUUCCUUCUCGUCGGUUGUCGUUACAUUCUUCUUGACCAUAGACACAAGUCACGAAUCUCUCCUUCCCUCCCUCCUUUUUCCGGCUUCCUCCGUGGACCACGUUUCCGUGUGGUAAUCUACUGUCCGCUGGCAUCUCCUAUUUCUUGGUCUUCGGGGAGUUUGAUGUCUCCAUUGUUCUCAAAUUUAGCGUAAAGAUCAGAUUUUGACGUGAAUUGUGGCGCAGAACCUAGUGGAACCCAAUAAACGCCUGUCGUUGGCUCUGAAGGUGGUGGUGUUCUUGAUUUGGAUCACUCCGGGGGUGAUGCUCUCUGCCCUCUUUUGGUGGUCUCAAAGCGAAAGGGAUAGGAAGAUUCCCAGUGAGGUGAUGCCACUCACGGAUAUGGCCCUUUACUUUUGUUCCGAAAGCGGAGAUUAGGGCUUUGUGAGUACCUCUUUUCUUCUCAGCUUCUAUACCUUGGCGUUGUCUUUUUCUUUCUGUGCCGAUUUGGGAGUGAGUUCUAAUUUCCGCUAGAACAUGAUAUGAUUUGUAGUAAUUUUCUCUACUUUUGUUGUUUCCUUCCUUCUGUUUGUCUCAAUAUCCACUCUAAAUUCACAGAGCGGCUUUGGGAAUUUGGGUGGAUGUUUGUCUUUUGAAGAUAAUUGUCCUGAAGGAGGAGAUUCGGAUCCGUGAGUACACUUGCUCCUCUUGUUCCUUGGGAUGAUUUCCUCGAUUGGUGCCCAUCUGGGAUCGAGAUGUUGUCCUUGAGCAGAAUGGCGUUGGGAAACUGGAUCAAGAUCCUGUCUUUAUCCGUUCUUCUCGGCUUCGUGUCGGUGGCCUUUGCGACCACCAACCACGGCGACUUCGCCGUGCUUGAUGAGUUCCGGAAAGGGUUGACCAACGCCGAGCUCCUCAAGUGGCCCACGAACAACGAAGAUCCUUGUGGCCCUCCGCUCUGGCCUUAUGUCGUCUGUUCAGGCUCGCGGGUCACUCAGAUCCAAGCCAAGAACCUGGGGUUGAUCGGGACUCUCCCACCGGGCUUCAACAACCUCUCCAUGUUGGUCAAUAUUGGCCUCCAAGGGAACAAAUUGACUGGAGCCUUGCCAUCGUUCAAAGGAUUGUCUAAUUUACAGUAUGCUUUCCUCGAUUACAAUCAGUUCGACUCCAUUCCCGCGGACUUCUUCGUCGGACUCGAUAGCUUGCGGGUUCUAUCUUUGGAUAAGAACCGACUGAAUCAGAGCACGGGGUGGAAGCUACCAUCUGACUUGGCGAAUUCAGCUCAACUGAUGAAUCUGUCUUUGGUGGACUGUAAUCUCGCCGGUCCGCUGCCGGAUUUCUUGGGAAACAUGCGUUCUUUAACUCAUUUGAAGCUGUCUUACAACAAUCUCACUGGUGAGAUUCCGGCUAGUUAUGAGGGCUUGCCGUUGCAGACUCUGUGGCUGAACAAUCAGGAAGGUUUAGGGUUGUCCGGUUCACUCAAAAUCAUUACCUCAAUGACCAUGCUAAAUGAUGUUUGGCUUCACGGGAAUCAGUUUACGGGGCCCAUUCCAAGUUCGAUUGGCGCCGUGGUUUUCUUGAGACGGAUCUGGCUCAACGAUAACCAGCUCGUCGGACUCGUACCCGCUGAUUUGACGGAUUUGCCACAGCUCCAAUCACUGCACUUGGAUAAUAAUGCAUUCAUGGGGUCAAUUCCUGCUGUCAGCUUCAGCGAUUUUACGUAUUCUCACAAUUCAUUCUGUCAGUCUGCACCUGGAAUUCCUUGCCCGGUGGAGGUGGCAGCACUUCUGGAUUUCCUUGAUGCGGUCGAUUACCCGCAGAAUCUUGCAAGAUCAUGGCUGGGAAAUGAUUCUUGCACUGGGACAUGGUUUGGCAUAUCUUGCUCUAGUGGGAAGGCUUCUAUCAUAAAUCUACCACGCAAUCAUCUGAAUGGCACAAUUAGUCCUUCUCUUGGGAAAUUGGAUUCUCUUGCUGAAAUUUUGCUUGGGAGUAACAACCUUCGUGGCAUGGUCCCUGAGGAGCUGACCGGCUUGAAGACAUUGAAGUUGUUGAAUCUUUCUUCAAAUGAUAUUUCACCUCCGGUUCCGCAGUUCCCCCGUGGUGUGACGGUCAUACUUGAUGGAAAUAGGUUGUUGGACAAGUCCAGUUCUACUGCAUCACCUUCCGGUGGUGAUACCCCAUCAGAAUCACCGAGCUCGUUAGGUGGCUCAUCUUUGUCUUCCAACUCGAAAAUUUUGAUCAUCAUUAUUCCGGUCAUAGUUGGGACUGCAGUUAUUCUACUGGUCAUGCUGCUUCUUUUCUGUUGGAAGAAGGGGAGAAGGAAUACUUUCUGUGCACCAAGUACCAUCGUUGUGCAUCCUAGGGACUCUUCUGAUCCAGACAAUUUGGUUAAGAUAGUGGUUGCAAAUAAUGCCAAUAACAGUACAGUAGCUAGUGAACUUCGGAGUAUAAGCAGCAGUAGCACUGUAGAUACUCAUGUGAUUGAGUCAGGGAACUUAGUAAUAUCAGUCCAGGUUCUUCGUGCCGCCACACGAAAUUUUGCCUCAGAGAAUGUGCUUGGCCAGGGAGGAUUCGGAGUGGUCUACAAGGGGGAGUUGCAUGAUGGAACAAUGAUAGCAGUUAAGAGAAUGGAGUCUGGCGUGCUAAAUAACAAAGCUUUGGAGGAGUUUCAAGCAGAAAUUGCUGUUCUGUCAAAGGUACGACACCGUAAUUUGGUGUCUAUACUGGGGUACUCUGUGGAAGGCAAUGAAAGACUUAUAGUGUACGAGUAUAUGCCUCACGGGGCUUUAAACAAGCAUGUUUUCCAGUGGAAGCAGCUGGAAUUGGAGCCUUUGUCUUGGAAGAAGAGGCUCAACAUUGCAUUGGAUGUUGCUAGAGGCAUCGAGUACCUUCAUAACUUUGCUAAUCAGUGCUUCAUCCACAGAGAUCUUAAAUCGUCAAAUAUACUACUUGGUGAUGACUACAGAGCAAAAAUUUCGGAUUUUGGACUGGCCAAACUUGCUCCUGAUGGCAAAAAUUCCUUUGCGACUAGACUUGCAGGAACUUUUGGGUACUUAGCUCCAGAGUAUGCUGGUAAGGGCUUCGUCUCUAGCUUUGGUCAACUUAUGGUGAUUAUGUCAUUAAAACAGCAAAAGCAUCAAGUAUUUUAUCAUAUAUUGAUUUAUGUUUGGCUUGGAUGCUUGAGGUUAUAUCAUCUUCUUCUUUGAAAUAUUUUUGUUAAUAUUUGUCGACUUUAGUGAUGAUUAAACAGCUAAAUUAGCAGAGAAAAUACGAAUGAGACAGUUUUCUACUGACCUGCCCUUCUGCUUGCCUUGGAAUUAUGAGUUGGAGAGACGGGAAAGCCUUUAUUGUUGCUGUUUAAGUUUGUCGAUUGUAGGUGUUAGCACUAAAAUACUUCUAAUGACUAGCUUAGUGAUGUUUCUUUUUACACUUCUAAUUCAUAAUCCAAAAAAUGUCUUUGUGUGAAAUCCAUGUUUCUCAUUUGAUACUUAUUUUUUCAGAGUCGAAGAAAAAUAACCAUUAGAGAAUAGAAAACCCAGCUUCUUCAAUUCCCCUUAUGUGCUCAUUUUAAUGUCUACCUUAUUACGAUGUCCGCUGAAGAGAUCUAAAUUCAAUAGUUCGCAAGUUAGUUUCGCACGUGUCAAUUAAUUUUUACGAGAUAAUGUAGGCAGGUAGGUAAUUUGAAAUAUUUUAUAAUAAAAUUUCACUCGAACAUUUGACUUCUGACUUUCUCAGUACUUUGUAUGCUUGAAUACCAUAUCAUUGUCACCUUUGUCAAUGUCGAUUGCAGUUUAAAGACAAUAUGAUUUAUUUACUAUAUGUCUUUUUAAUUGUAUUUUUAUGCAAAGUAAUCAUACUUUUAUUUGAAGUGAAUACUGCAGCAAUACUCUUCAAAUCAAUCAUUAUGAGGAUGUUUUUUUUUUUUUCCGCUUCCAACUCAUUUAUUGACACAAAUCCUCUUGCCAUGGUUGCAUCAGUGACUGGGAAGGUUACGACAAAGGUUGAUGUCUUCAGUUUUGGAGUAGUGUUGAUGGAGCUAAUAACUGGUUUAAAGGCUCUGGAUGAGGAUCGCCCAGAGGAAAGCCGUUACUUGGCAUCCUGGUUCUGUCAAAUGAAGAACGACAAGGACAAGCUCAAGAGCAUCAUUGAUCCAUCACUUGUUGUCACAGACGAGACCUUUGAGAGUAUCGGUGUCAUCGCAGAACUCGCAGGUCACUGCGCUGCACGUGAACCCCAUCAGCGGCCUGACAUGGGUUAUGCAGUGAACGUGCUCGCCCCACUCGUCGACAAAUGGAAGCCUGUCAAUGAUGAUCAGGAGGAAUACUUGGGGAUUGACCUCUGCCAACCCCUUCUUCAGAUGGUAAAGGGUUGGCAAGCAGCUGAUGGUGCUUCGGACAUCAGUUCAUUAAGCCUUGAUUACAGCAAAGGAAGCAUCCCAGCCAGGCCUGCUGGAUUCGCCGACUCUUUCACUUCUGCAGAUGGCCGAUGAAUAAGUUGGUACAUCUUGUGUUUCUUGAUCUCUUCUUUCGUUUCUCCCGGCAAAUUUCCUCCUUUUUCUUGCUUCUCAGUCUGUAAAUAUAAAGGAUUUCUUUGUCACUGUUGGGCGCAGGUCGGUGCUGGGUGUUGUGUUUAGUCGAGGAAUGCAGUUUCCUUGUUCAUUUAGUUUGCUUUUGAGAUGAGCUGAUGCAAUGGCUCUUGACAUCGUUCUGACAAAUUUGAGAGUGAUUCAUGCUUCAUCAAAUUGAUGCAGAGAGUAGAGCGAAAAAUAAUUUUUUCUUGAGUCGAUAAGCACUUCAAAUCUCGAUCAAUCGAUGAAUAUAUCUCAGUGGUAGAAGAUUAUUUAUUUAUUUUUUUUGUGUUCGAUAAGUUCCUUGACUAUCAAAUUUUCAUCAUAUCAAUUUUCCAACUUCUCUAUGUUGAAUUAAGUUCAGUGAGCACUCAUGUCAUUUGUCAUAAGAAUCAAAGAAUAGGUCUCAUUUGCCCCAUUACAUAUUAUUGUCAGAAAGAUAAUAUAUCAUAGAUUGUGAAGCUGUUUGUCAGAAAGAACAGGUCUGAUUUUUCAUUAUUCCUAUGACAAAUGAAAUAAAAAUAUCAGAAAAACACUGUAAUCCAAUACAAAAAAAAAACAUUAUUAUAAUAAUUCAUUUACUACAUUACAAUGUUUUCAUAUUAUUGUUGAAAACACUAUGAUGCAAUGUAAAAACACUAUAAACAUAAUAUCUUUAUAAAAUUUAUAUAAAAGAUAUAUUGUGUUAUAAUUUUUUUUUGAUAUUACUAAAAAUAGUAUGCCAGUGUAAAAAUACCAUAAUUAGACUAUGAUCUAAUUAAAACCUCAAAAAAAAAAAAUCUCCAAUAAAGAAUGCAACAGAUAUUAAACGAUUCACAUUAUACUUUUAAACCCAUUAAAAUCUCCCACGUCGGAUCUCGUGAACAGAGGACAGGAGGCGUGAGGCGUGUCAUAAAGAGGACAAAGUUUGGCGUCGCGUUCGAGUACCGGUGGUGGUGUCCAGUCCUCGGCCCGCGAGGUUGGAGACGUUGACCGUGCCUCCCUCAGCCCAUCCGACGUUUGACCUCACGGACCGCCCGAUGUUUGACCUGUCUGUGAAGCCGUGCGCUGCUGCUGCCGCUGCUCCGCUGCCGGACCACGUUAAUCCCGAGUCCCCCCAUCAAUGCGACCACCCUCACGCCCCACGCGCCGGAGUUGCCACGACCGGCCACGUGAGCUGCCUCGCUCCCGCGGGGCCCGCCCACGUUGCCGACGCACCCUCCCAAAUCGGCCGACUUCGCCAUCCGCGUCCCACGGACGUGGCUUCUCUCGUUCAUCGGCUCAAACAGGGUACAGGCUUUUCGGGCAAUCGUUUUUCUUCCUUUCUGAGCUUUGAAAUCCCGGACCCUGUAUUCGUCUCGCCACCGAUCUCCACCCGACCCGAUCGGGCGUCGAAGUCGCGUCCAAGCGAAGCGAACUCGAUUCGGCUCCAACUCGACUGCGAGAUUAGAUCCGGUCGUGACGUGAUUCAGAUCCAAAUGACACAUCACCUUCUUCGUUUUAAUUACAUUAAUGGCUGGUUUGUUUGACUCUCUUAAAUGGCUUCAUGGGCAAGACGUUGGCAUGGUUGCAGGAAGCAGCAGCAAGUUGGCGGCAUCGGGGAAUGCGAGGAGGAGGCGGUAGGGGGCCGGGACAAAGCUGAGUUGUUCCUGUCUCGAAAUGAACACCACCACUGCAGCCAUUCGGGUGAGCUGGCCGCGCUGUCCGCCAGCGUCGCCAUCGGCGGAGGACCACCAUCCGGCACUCCCCAUGUGCUCCAUGCCUUCCAUCUCUUCUCCCUUUCCUCACUCGUGGCGUGAGGAAGAAGGACGAGUUCCCAAUCCUCUCUAUUACCAGCGACGAGAGACAGACCUAAACGAUGAACGCUUCACGUUAGAUUCCAUCCAUGUAAUGUAUAAGGAGGUAUGACCGAGCGUCGUCGUCCUCCUUGCAGUCGUCGUAAUAAACAAAUCGAUAUGAAAGAUUUCAAGUACAAUCAUGCUACUGUAAGCCAUGGAGCAAUCACGCUGUCGAUGACUCACCUGCCAUCCCCGUCGAUCUGCUGUGGUCGCAUGCCAACCUGCAUUACCAUCCACUCUCGAGUUGGUAUAGUCGGUGAAGACAUACGUCGAUCGUCCAGAGUAAAAGUCUGAGAUCAAUCAUAUCAUUAGACGUCGUUGUGAUCAUUAAGAAUUGCUGACGGGUCGAGGCUUGAGACUCCUAUAUUAUACGUGAAACGAGUACGACUGUCUGGGACCCAUCUGCGGUUAUAUUUGUUGUGGGCAACGACCUUAAGCUGAGCGACCCUUGGGGCCAACGUGAUUGGGUUCGGGUCCGAAUGAUCGAGGAUCUUACUGAGCAACCCUUGAGACUGCUGAGGUGGCCGACUGCGGUGGUCCGAUCGCGACGGGACGAUCGUUUCCUCUGGAAGGGAACUCCUCGCUUGGGCACGCGAUGGGAGGCGCUCCGUCUUCGUCCUUGCACACAGGUCGGGUCGGGAAGCUCAACCCGACCCCUUUGACGAUCAGGUUAAUGGAUAGUCUUAGGGGGUUUUUGCUUUUGUUUCUCCUCCUCCUUCCCUUCCUAAGCGCGAGGGUAUUUAAAGAGAAGGUUACCGUUGCCUGAUGUACCUGCUUGCAGGGAGUAGGAUCAUACUCCUGGUAACGUCUAACACCGGUGUUGGCGUGGCGUGAAGGACCGGGCUCGCGUAGGAUGUUAAUAGGCCUCGGUCGGCGUUCUAAUCGGGUUUGGCCAGGCACUAUCAGGUCAACCGAGGCGUGAGGCAUCAUCCAGGCGUAGCUGACGUUAACUCGCGUCUCAUCGCCAUUAUUGCCCUCAUCACCGGGCUUGCGCAAGACGUGGCGUGCCCUGGUCUCUGUCUCGAUCAGGCGCGUUAAGUCAAACCGAGGCGUGGAUCAUUAUCUUAGAGGAGCUGAUGUCAACGUACGUCCUGAUGAGGGUAAUAAUUAGGGUAAGACUCGCAUGACAUCUGCUAGCCCAGAUGACGCCCCACAGGCCGACAACACCUGGUCAACAUGGACCGGAACGCCUACCAAGGCACAUUAACACUCCCCUCCGGUUCGAUCCCUCACGCCACGCCAACGAUGACGUCAGACGCCACCAGGAGUACGAUCCUGCUCCCUGCGGGCAGGCACACCAAGUAACGAUAAUUCUCACUAUAAAAACCCUCGCACCCUAAAAGAGGGGAGGGAGGAACAAAAAAAAACCCAUACUACUUUUCACUAACUGGAUCGUCGGAGGGGUCGGGUCGAGCCUCCCGACCCGACCUAUGUGCAGGGACGAAGACGCCUUCCAUCGCGUGCCCAAGCGAGGAGUCCCCUCGUAGAGGGAACGACCGACCCGCCCCGAUCCAACCACCACGGUCGGCCACCUCAGCAGUCUCAAAGGUCGUUCCAGGAAGAUCCCCAAUUAUUCGGACCCGAACCUAGUCGCGUCGGUCCCGAGACCACGACUUAAAGGUUGUUUACACUAACACGUCCCAUCGCCAUUAUUGCCCUCAUCAAUAUUUACGUGAGUUACAUACGAACACACUUCACUCGGGCUAACCAUUGUUGCGGUGGGGUUCUCUUCCCAAAUAUUCUCAUCGCCCGCUGUAGCGGGGAAUCCGAAUACCUAAACUAAAUCCAAACAUGCAUGCCGAUCCAUUGUGUUCCCUCUCACAUGAUCGCGGGGCCCACACUCGUCGCUGAGGUUGCAACGGGUCGUGGAUGCUCCGCUGUGCCGUACGCCGUUUGCCGCUUCCGUCUGGCUUUAAGGUGCGUGAAAUCACCUGAUCGGUGCCUUCAAGAUUCACACCACGCUUCCUGUCAGCUUCGGGCGAGCAAAGACGAGUGGUUUUACAUAUCUACCCUUUUGAAGUGCCGAGAUGACAUAAAACACACCUUUUCCUGUAAUAUUAGUUUUUAGGAUCAAUUAUCAUCCAAAUUAAAAUUUAUUAACACUUAUUUAAUAUCCGGCUUUACUCAUUCAAUUCGUAUUAAUAAUUUAAAAUGGCCUUUAUUGUCUUUAUAAAUAUAUAUAUAUAUAUCUUAUAUUUUCGAAAGCGGAGGCCACAUUAAUGGCAAUCACAGCAGCGGAGGGCUCCGCGCUGCGGUCUGACAUCUCCCUGUCUCACGGCAUUACAUGUCGCUCCCUUCGUUUUAACUCAACCCACCAAAAGACCCACCCCAACCCUAUGGUUAGCUACUGCUCUCCUUCCCUCCCCGUCGCUUCACCCACUCGCCCUCCUAUAAAUUAUUCAUUGCGGCAAUUUAAAAUUAGUGCCACGGCGAGACUGAGCGAGUGUGAGUAAAAGAGGAAAGAGAAGAAAUAAAGAGGAGAGACAGAAGAACCCAAAGCGACCAACAACCCUCGUUCCGACGCGCGAGGCGCCGAAUCCCCGGCCGCAUUGCCGUCCUCGAUCUACAUCCGUAUCCGGAGAGGCGAUCGGAUCGUUCCCCGAGGUCAGGUUCCGGCUCCGGGGAGCUUGUUACGGCGAGAGAUCGGGAGAUCCGACUGCCGAAAAGCAUUGCGUGUUAGAAGGUGAUGAUUGAGAUCGGCGCUUCGAUCGAUUUCGUAUGGUGAGUUCCAAUCGCACUCGGAAGUCAGGAUUGAUUUCUUUGGGCUUUGUUUUCUUACAGUGCCAGUUCUGGAUCUCAGUGCCCUGAAAUGGAAGCUGUUGUUCUUUGAUUCGAUGUGAUCCGAGGAGCUGGAGGGGAUCUGACUGAUUGAUCCAUGGAGCAAGGCAUCUCGAGUUGGGAUUGAGAGACAGUAGCGACGCUUUAUCUUCGAGGACAAAAAGGAUUCGGCUCGCCGAAGCGGUUCUUCUUGAAGCUCGUGAAGGAUCUGUUAUUCUUUUCGUCGUUCCGCUUUGUGGAUCGGACUCACGGAGUCGAGAAUGGAUAAGUAUGAGAUAAUGGAACAGAUCGGCCGGGGAGCCUUCGGUGCUGCGAUUCUUGUGAACCAUAAGCAAGAGAAGAAGAAGUAAGUCUGAUAAACUCAGUGACCCCUUUUUGGAGCCUUCUUUGAUCGAUUGCUCGGUGUCUUUCGGAUUUCAGGUAUGUUCUAAAGAAAAUCCGGCUCGCGAGGCAGACUGAGCGGUGCCGGCGAUCUGCUCAUCAGGAGGUCUGCCAAAGAAUGAAUACUUGUUCUUUCCUGCUUUUAGGAUCACUAAUGCCAAGCUCUCUAAUUAUGUCAAAGUUUGGUUUCCACAGAUGGCUCUUAUCGCACGGCUCCACCACCCUUAUGUCGUCGAGUUCAAGGAAGCCUGGGUGGAGAAGGUCUGGAACAAGUAGACUGAGCGUAUACGUAUAAUCUCUGCUGUCACAUCAUAUGUCUAAACGUUGCCUCUGGAUGCAGGGCUGCUAUGUUUGUAUUGUCACUGGAUACUGUGAGGGAGGAGACAUGUAAGUGCUACACUGUUUGUUCUUUUAUAGUUUUUCUUCCAUGUCAACAUUCUGGACUUCUUUAGCCUUUAAUCUAUUGCGUCUGAAAGGGCUGAGUUGAUGAAAAGAUCAAACGGAACAUAUUUUCCGGAGGAGGUAAUAUUGAUUUCUUCUGAUUUUUUGGUCUACCACCGUAGGGAUUUUAUAUAACGGUGGCAUUAUGAUAUGUUUCUUUCUACCAGAAAUUGCUGAAAUGGUUUGUCCAACUGCUAUUAGCUGUAGAAUACUUGCAUUCCAACUUUGUUUUGCAUCGAGACCUCAAGGUUGGUGACAAGUUUGGCAGCAGCUGGCUUUUUGUAGCUUAUGCUAUUGUCUGAUUUCUUCCAUUGUCUUUUCUGCACCCAUGUUGCAGUGCUCGAAUAUAUUUCUCACCAAGGAUCAAGAAGUUCGCCUUGGUUAGUGACUUUGAUGUCUAACCAUGAAGUUAGAUUAGCCUUCCUCUUGUUGCAUAUCUGAAGUUUUUGCUUGCUGUGUUUCAUGUGCAGGGGAUUUUGGGCUUGCUAAAACUCUGAAAGCAGAUGAUCUGGCUUCUUCGGUUUGUGCUAUAGAUCCUUGAUCUUUUUCUUUUGUUUUGAGUACACAAAUCUAUGAUUUCUUCUGGAUAUGUUUGUGAAAGUGUGUUUAAGGAUUGUUCGUCUUGUGAUUAUGAAUGUUUUUUAAGAAUUUAAAUCUAUGUAUUUAAUGUAGUUACUCCUCUAUGAUUGCAGUUUUUAAUAUUAGUAACAAUGCGUGGUGUGAGUUCACUAAUAUGAUCUGCAUGUUAUAAUUAAUCUUUAGGACUAGUUCAAAUCAUCAUUUCAUUGUCCCAGAAGGAUCAAAUCUCUUCAUGUACAGGGCUCUUUAAGUAACUUUGUAUUUAUUUGGUCACCAUUUUCAAAUGUUUUAUUCAGUAUUCCAUGUUCUCCUUAAGAAAAGGCCUAGCGAAUGUGCUUUCAGCCUUUCACAUCUUGUAUUUGCCAUUUGUGGGACCUUCUUUAUGAUGGGUGGCUAUAUUGCCAUAACUUCUUUUGGUCCUUGACUCCCAUGCUUCUGUAUGAGGAAACCCAUUAUAUGUGAAGUUAAUUUUACGAGGAGUAUUACUGGUUUACUGCCAUCUCAGAUUUACUGUCAGUUUUUUGUUUAUUCAUUUUAAUUAUUCUCUGAACUGUAAAUUGUAUUACCAAGAGGCAACACCUGCUUGAAAACUUUUGUUACACCACACCACGCAGAUGUAAUGUUUUGUCCCAAAAGAGCUAUACCGCUGAGCAUUAUCUCAGGGAAUACGGGGCUGUGUUGUAUCAUGUGCAACUGAACGUUACAGGAGCUGCUAACAUUACAAAGUGUAGUAACUUCUAAUCAGAAGUAAGUUCAUAUUCUUCUUUAAAAUAGUGUCAUCUAGUUUGUUAGGCAAAUUCUGGUGUAAGAAACAUCAUAAGAUAAUAAUGGCAAUUGUAUGAGUCUAAGAUUCCCUUAUUUCUCUUAGCUGUUCAAAAUCUUGUGCGUACCUGAUUGACUUCCUGGCUCUUUCAAGCUGAACGAGGAGGAAAUGUUGGUCUUCAAGUAGCUCUUCAGAUGUAUGAACUUUGCAUGAAUGUUCCCUUUCCAACUUGGAGAAGUUAUAGUAAAAUUUAUAUGUCAAAAUUAACAUCUGCCGAAUUGUCUGCUAAUUCUGUGUUAACUUAGCCUUGAAAUCAGAUGUACAAUGGUUCUCUAGAUACUUCCACCUUUCAAGAAUUUUGCAGUAAUUUGGGCUGUAUAUGCUUGUCAUGUUACUGGAAUUUUGAUGAGCAGAUCCUCCUUCUGUAGGUUGUUGGAACUCCCAAUUACAUGUGUCCAGAGCUCCUUGCUGAUAUUCCUUAUGGUUUCAAGUCAGAUAUCUGGUCUUUAGGUAUGAUUACUUCAUGAAUUUGUCAGGUUGAUUAAAUGACUUUGAUGAAGUAAUGGCUAGAUCCUGACUAAUUUUAAAUUGGUUGGUUAGGUUGCUGUGUGUAUGAGAUGGCUGCUCAUCGACCAGCAUUUAAAGCUUUUGUAAGCCUCUUGCAUAUUUAAUUAAUUGUUUUAUUUGAAUAUUGAUGCAAAAGCACAGUAAAAGAAAUAAGCAUCAGAUAGCAAUUUGUCCCUUUUAUGUACAAGUGUAAUGCCUUUUGUGGUAUCAUCUUUGCUGGUCAAAGACCUUUUUCCUUGAAUGCUGACUUUUUUAAUUGAUCUGUUCCUGAGUCCUAGAAAUGGUUGAGGAAUGUUUAUCUUAUUGGUUUAUUGCUGACCAGCCAAUGUCUUGCUCUGACAUUCUUUCUGCUGCAAUCUCUUAUUGGAAGUUUAGCCCAUUUGCCAAAGCUAUUUAUUUCAUAAUACUCACUACACAUGUUCUUCCUGAAGUUUAACCAUCCCCUUAUUACUAUGUUUUUGUAAAUUUAUGAAGUUUGUGCUCAAUAAUUCUUAAUUUAAAUUUGAAACUGAUUAAAAGAUACAGUAAUUUGUCUCUGUUUCCAUCCAUUUAAAUUUAGGAAAGUUCACUGGUACUAUGUGAUCUCUGUGCUAGAGUUCGACUUCACCCAAAAUUCUAAGGCUCUUCUGGAUUUUAAGAUAACUAGGCACAGGUGCAUUGAGGUAAAUGUCACGAUUUGACCCGAUGGUUAGUUAAUAAGCCUGAGUCACUUACCUAAAGUGCUUAAUCACAAGUUCUCAACCUUCAAAUUCUCAGAUGAAAAUAUAAAUCUAAAAUUUGACUACUAAGCCAUGACCACAUCUGCGAGUGUCUGUUCCUCCAAUUGUCAAAUUUAAAUACCUUUUCUUAUUCGUUUACCAAUGUGCACAGACAGUUCAAGUGUGGAGCUGAAGUAAUUUCUUGUUUUGACAUGUUGGUGUGUUCAAACUUUUCUGGCUUUCUUGCUAUUCUUCAUAGUCAUUAUGUUGUUUCAAGUUUCAACAUUGGUUGCAAGAAUCACUUCCACUUUUCUUUGGUUGAUGUGUCAAAUAAAUUUCAGGAUAUGGCUGGAUUGAUAAGCAAGAUUAACAGGUCCUCUAUUGGUCCACUCCCGGCUUGUUAUUCUUCUUCAUUGUGAGUAUCACUAUCAUCAAAUGAUAAUUAAAUUAUUUGGACAUAUUAAUUGUUAAGCCGUUUAUAUUUUAGUUUUCUGCUGACAUUGUGAAUCAUCACACAUGUGCAUUUAAACAUAAAAUUGCAAUUAAUUUCAACAGAGCCUGCAUUAUAAGUUCUUCUAGUUGUUACUGCUCUAGUAUGACACGAUCUAGAACAAUUUUUCAGACCAUGGAACAAUCUUAUUUCCAGUGAUGCUCAUUAAAAAUGUUUCUGAACUCCUUUUACCAUAUAUGAGACUUCCUGAGAAGUUAUAUUUGGACAAACAUGGGAUUAUAUUCUUCACUGAAUACUUGUUUGCUGUUUGCUAAGAAUGGACUUAUUAAUACACAGUUCAUGCAGGAAAGCAAUCAUCAAAAGCAUGCUGAGGAAGAAUCCAGAAAAUCGGCCAAGUGUAAGUCCUUUAAAUUGUCCUCUCCAUUUGUAGCAAAUUAUCUGUUUGUGUGUGCAAGCCCUUGAUGAUAAGCAUCUAUUCAUAACAUAAUCUAAAAAUUCUAUGAUUUAACCCAAUCAGGCAUCUGAAAUUCUACAACACCCUUAUUUGCAACCAUAUGUCAUUGAACACCGUCCAUGCCCAGAUCCUUCAAGUGUAAACCAGUCACCAGAGAUGCCCAUCUCCACUUCACAUGGAAGUCAGAAGAACAUGUCUGAAAGCCAAAGCAGCAGUGUUUCCAGCAGUGACAAAGAUAGUUUACGGUCAGGUGACCAUAACAUUUCUGGUCCAACAGCUGAUUGCCAGCAAAAGACAACUGGAGCAGACAGCGCUUUAACUGAUGUUUUAGCUCCCAACGCAUAUACGCCACCAGUGGAUGCCAUACAUGGUAAUGAGGUCUCCAAAGCUGCUAUAGAGAGAAAAAGUUCAUCAAAGUUCAUACAUGUUGAUCAGCAGCCAAAACUUGAGUCUAAGCAGUCAAAAACUGUAAAUAACAUUCUCAUGGUUCUAAAAGAGGAGGGAAAAGCAAGAGAAAGUUCUCCUAUGAGAGCAACCCGUGUAAGAGUUGCUAGUGGUUCCAAUCACAAGACUAACCCAGAACCGACACCUAAAUUGUCUAAGCCUGUUAGCACCACUUCAACAUCGAAGCCUAAUUCAGAAGGCCAGGCUCAUGAACCAAUCCAAACUAAUAGGGACCCCACAAAACGUGCUUCCAACCAUAACUCUGGCAUAGAUCCAUCACAGGGGACGUCCAAGCCUAUUAGCGCCUGUUCAACUUCAAAGUCUAGUGCAGAAGGGCAACCCGAUGAGCCUCCCAAGACUAAUGGUGAUUCUGAAAAGCAUGUCCAAGCAUCACACAGAUUUAAGCAACUGGUAAGUGAAGCUUGUGAAACUUGGAGGUAUUUCUUUAUAAUUUCAAUCUAUGAUUCAUUUGUUAUAUGUUUCAGUUACCAGUAUCCGAGCCUUGUUCGAAGACUAAAGUCAGGUAUGAUGGUGUUUCGCCACCAGAUCGUGUCAAAUAUAUUGCAGAAGAUAAUAUUUCUCCCAAGACAAGGCAAAGGACCCCACCGUCCAGCAUCUCUAGAAAGCCUACUGUACCUUCCAAGAAAUCUGCUGGAGUUGAUCAUUGUCCAGUUGAAAAUGAGAUCAAAUGUGUUUCAGCCAACCUAACUCAGGAGCCUGAUAGUGAUGUAAACAAAAAAUGUUGUCACCCGAUGAAAGUCAACAGUCAAUCAGAGGAUGUUCCUCUAGAUCCUUCAAGAGAGAUGCAGAUUGAAACGGGUGAUUCGAAUGCUCCACCUGUUUCAACUCAAGAUUCUCCAAAACCAGUUCUCAAGGAGCAGAACAUGUUAUCCUCGAACACUACAGCUGAUUCUGCUGAGAAAAUAGUGCUCCCUGAAAUUUCUGAAUCUAAUCCACCAAUGCCUUUGUUAUCAUCAGGUACAUAUCCAAGCCUCGAUGAUUCAACAGCAGAGGGUCAUGAGCAUGACAGCGGACCUAUUCUGAAUUCGAGGUUCAGUGCAGUGGACUUGCAGAACAGCACUUCAAGUAAUGAAAUGAUGAGUUUGAGUUCACUCCAAGAGCCAACCUCUUCAAUCUCUGAUCAAGAUGUUGUUUACAAGGAUGAUCUUUCUUUGAAUAAGCCCGAUCAGAGUCAAAUGGUCACACAAACUGGUGUCGACAGGUUUACUGUCAGGGAGCUCCUAUCUUCCAUAGCAGAUAUCGGGCCUUUUGUUUCAGCAACACCUAAGAACUCUCCUAUGGAAAAUAUACCAGCUACGAAUCAGAUGUCGGAAAAACCAGCAGCACCUCAUCUAACCCCGGUUUUUGAUGAUGUCAUACAUGUCAUAAGGCACAGCAGCUUUCGUGUUGGUGGUGACCAGCCUAUCUUAGAGAACAAGGAGAAGAGCGUUCAGAACAUCGAUGUGGGAAAGUUAUUGAACGUGGUGCAGGAUGAGGUUGAUAUGAGAAAAAUGCCAAAUAAUUUGAAGCCUGCCGGAUUCAUUGAAACCGUGAAACCUAAGACGAAUGCUUCAGAAAGCGGUAUCAAGGAGAAGCCAAGUAGCCCAGAGACGGCAAAAUCAAGUUAUAAUACUACGGAGGUUAGAUCAGCUUCAUCGGAACACGUCCUCAGGUCAAAGGAGGAGGAAACUCCAGUUAAAGAAACAUUGGAUGUGAACUCCUUCAGACAGAGGGCAGAAGCACUCGAAGGGUUGUUAGAGCUCUCGGCGGAUCUUCUGCAGCACAAUAGGCUGGAAGAACUUGCGGUGGUCCUAAAACCUUUUGGGAAGGAUAAGGUAUCCCCACGAGAAACUGCAAUUUGGUUAGCCAAGAGCUUCAAGGGGUUGAUGAGUGAGACGACAUGAGGAUUCCAUCCUUCUUCUGGGUAGUUUUUCCUGCAUUUGUGUCAAGAAGGAAUCGAUAUCUUGCAGUGCUUACCCCUUUUUCCACAAAUUUUUUCUUCAAGAUUCUUUGUUUUAGAAAAAAAUGGUGUAUAUAGCGUGAAAUGUGAACAAAAUAAGACUUUGUUUUUUCUUUUGGGUAGCAAGGAACCAUGGAUGCGUGUAAUGACAAUUGCUGUAAUGUUUUGUAAUGAGGUUCUUUACUUUUCUUCCGAUGUGUAUGAAACACUCCUGUUCUUGAGAGCCUAACUUUUUUAUCUUGGAUAUGCUUUAAAUAAUCCUGUUUGAAUCAAUUGAUAUUGAUGUAAAAUUGUUUAUUCUCUCGGUUCACUCAUAAUUAGAUAUGCAUAUUCGGUUUAUUGAGGAAAGACGAGGUGGAUAAAACGCUGAACGGAUUGAAUGAUUCGGAUGAACGAGACGGGGAGAUUCGUUUCUCGUUGGCAACGAUGUUAGGUUCAUUUCACCGCAUCGAACGGCAGCCAAUCAGCUAAAGACAAAAAGCGACCGAUGGGAUGUUUCUCGUCCAUUUCACCGAGUUUUUUUUAUAGCCGAUAGCACGUCAUCAUGUCAUCAUCUUUCCCACUUUUCGUCUCGAUGGGGCCAUCCCAGCCGUCCAUUUUUUUGGCCCAUAUCCGCCGUCUAUUCUGUUCAUUCCCUCCGUCUUAACCGUAAGCCCCUCCCCAACCCCUCUCUCUCUCUCUCUCAAUGGCGACCCACUCCAAGCCCACCGGCGAACCCGUCGUCAUCGGGUACCCGGCGGCGGGAAUUACAGCGCCUCUCCCGUCCGCUACCGCGUACACCUACGCCACGCCGCGGCCCGACCACUACUACUACGCCGACCCGCGCACUGGCGCCGCCUUCUCCGCCAACCACAACCUUCUCCUCUACCGCAUCCUCAUCGCCGCUGCCGUCGCCUUCCUCCUCGUCGGCUUCAUCUCCUUCUUCCUCUGGCUCUUCCUCCGCCCCAGCGCCCCCGUCUUCAUCGUCUCCUCCGCCACCGUCUCCGCCUUCAACCUCUCCUCCCCCUACGGACCCUCCCCGCAGCUCUCCUCCUCCUUCAAUCUCGCCCUCAACGUCUCCAACCCUAAUAAGAAGAUGGGCGUCAACUACUUCCACGUCGCCGCUGCCGUGGCAUACGACGGCGUCAUCCUCGCGGAGACAGCACUUUCCCCUUUCGAUCAGGAGGGAAGAACCUCCACCACAUUGCAGGCAACGCUGGCAACGCGGCAGGAGUCUGUGGGUCUUGACGUGGCGAGGGGGAUGUCACGCGAUCGUGCGACCAGCGGCGCCGUCCGGUUCGACGUGAUGGUGGAGGCGUGGGUUUGGUUUAAGACGAGCGCGUGGAGUACGAGCAGCAGCGUGAUGAAAGUGUACUGCGAGGGCAUCAGUAUAUCGCUCAUCAACGAGACGGUCACCUCUGGAUCGAUGGCUGGGCCAACAAAGCAAUGUCAGGUCAACAUAGGAUGGUGAGCUUGAUUGGUAAUCUUGCCUUUGCUUCUUCCUCUUCUUUAUAUGUCUUUGAACGAUUCUAGAAUGCAUAUCAUAAAUAAGCAUGCAUGGAUGGUCUGAAGUCUCUGUUCUUUUGAUUGGUAAUCUUUCCAUUGCUUAUUCCUCUACUUUGUAUGUCUGCUAGAAUGCAUAACAUAGAUAAGCAUAGAGGUCUCUGUUCUUUAGUGUGGAUAUUACUUCUUGAAUGAAAUGAUAUACUUUUACUGUAGUUUUCUAUUAUAUAUCUUGCUCUUGGUUAUUUUUGUCGAUUGAGUUGUAUCAAUCUGUGCAAUGUUACCGAAGUGGUGGGGAAAUGCAAGUAUAUAAGAACGAAAUUUUUUUUGGAAUUGUUGGUGUUUUGCAUGUUUAGGUUAUAAGAAUGCAUUUUUGUAGGUUUUGCUUGUUUCUUUGAUAUAUACAAGGCUGCUAUGAAACUAUUGGUAUUUUUGGGACUACAGGCAAUUCCUUCCGAGCCUUUUUGUAUCUUUUUAUCAUGGGUCGUCAAAGUUGUUGAUGAACUGAUGCGUCGUGGUUGGUGAGUCAGCACGGCGUGAUCCACGGGUCGAUGUCGGGAGUCUUCGGUUGGCUUCGCUGGUUGCUGAAGUCGGUCACGCCCUCAGGACGGAGUGCUGGCAGUAAACUGUUGGCGUCUCUUGGUUGGGAUGAUGAUUGUGGCUCUGUGGAGGCUACUUUCCGGUUGGUUACUGGCUUGGCCCCUCCGACGAUCAAUUCAGUGAUUGGUGGAGGUUUUUGUUUGUUUUUUGCCUCCCCCUGUGUUAGGAAUGGGGUCGACACUAAGAGAGGGGGGUGAAUUAGUGCAGUAGUAAAAUUACGUCGGUUAAAAAAACCUUCGUACGAUAAAAACCGAUUUCUAUUAAAACCGUUUCGGAGAGAGGUUAACUUGAAAGCGUUUUCGUAAAGAUAGCUUGAAAGUGUACGGAAGAUAGAUAGUGGAUAUAAAGCAAGUUAAGAGGUUUGCAGUAAAGUAAAUUACUCAAAUAUAGAAAUGCAAACCAGAAAAGAACACGCCGAUUUUAUAGUGGUUCGGUCGUCGUGACCUACAUCCACUCCAUCGAUUCCUCUUCCGUCGAGGCCAUCGGCAUCCACUAUCGAUCUUCCUUUAUAGGCGAAGAUCAACCUCCUUCUUACAACUCUUUCGCCUUUUACCGGGUUUAGGAGAUAACCCUUACACCCCCACUCACUUCUCUCUCAAACUAUUCUAAUACUUAGAACUUUGAGAGGAGUUUCACACAAGAGUACAAUAGAGUUUCUUUCUUUUUUACUCGCAAUACUUGUGUGUAUUAACCAGGGAUGAGAGGGGUAUUUAUAGGCCUCAAGUUAAUUCAAACUUGGAGCCUAAAAACAUCUCAUCCCUGGUUUCCUGGGUCUGGGUGGUACCACUGCCUAUGCUGGGCGGUACCACCGCUUGACACUGUCUCGGAGAUUAUGCCACGACGAUGUCACCUCUUGGGGCACUAUUUGGGCCUUUUUAUUGGGCCCAACAUAAUUCUUACAUGGGCCCAAUUGGCCCCUAAUUGGGUUGGCCCAAAUCCAAUCUCAAUUACGUGCUAACUAUGAAAUCUAAGGCAUUUGCUAAGCUAAACAAGUCCCUAUGUCUUGGUUUCUUCCAGCGAGCUUCCGGCGAACUUCCGACAAUCUCUCGGCAAUGUUCUGGCGGACUCCCGACAAGCUCCUGGACUUCUCGGCAGAACUUCCGACGAACGUCUAGAAUUCCGACGAACUCUCGAACUCGCAACGAAAUCGCUUCCUUGACUCCGGGACUUCAUUUUGCUUCAUGCCUUGCUAUCGUAGUUAAUCCUACACAUGUAAAAAUACACUUCGAUCUAGACAAUUAAUACUAAGCAUUAAUCAUGUUGUCCGGCAUGUCAUUGGUCCCUCGAUGCUUCGUCCAAUUCUUCGGCGCAUCGUCCUCUCUUGCGGUCUAUUGCCCAAUCGGCCAGUUGACUCUGCAACUCCGAUAUCCUUGGCGCAAUAUCCGUUCUUCUUGGCCCGAUGCCUGAAUCCAUGGCCCGAAGCCUUCUGUCGAUACGUCGACCGAUCCUCCGACUCGACAUCCAAUCUUCUAACAUGUUUUCCUCCGGCACAACAUGAUUCUUCCUGCUUUAAUUGUCUCAUCCUGAUCGAAGCAUCCUGUGUCACUCAAAACGCAGAUCAAAUCAUAAACACUUAUCAAUUGAUUUUCUCAUCAAAAUUCGAGAUUCAACACCUUGGGCCAGAAGUCGGCUAGGGGUUUUAUACUACUGUACGAGGGUCGGCCGUACGUGGGUUUGGCGUGACGAUCGAUCCUCGAGGGGUGAGAUGGUACCUUUGUGCGGCCGCCGUCUCGGGACGCGCGGAACGGCGCCAUACAGUGUCGUCCCGAGCUUUCCGAGACGGGAUGUAUUGAGCAACACCUUAGUACAGAUUCUGGCUUGGCGCGUGGGGGUGCUCCUUUUGCUGACUUGGCGGUGGCAUGGCGUGGCAUUGAUUGUGAUGUGGCCAGACCCAAAAUAUACCUUAUAAAAAGUGAUUGAGAUAAUGUCAAUUAGGUCCAUCCAAGGCGAAAGUGUUGUUUGUUACCUAAAUAGUCACUGAUUAUAGAACCAAUGUUACUUUGGUUUGUUUGACUUUGCAGAAGUGACCACACUGGUUCAACGUUAUUGCUUGGCCCAAUUUAGAACAAGGGAGUAUCAAUGUCCUUCUGACAUUGUCAAACUGAGCAAUCCUGGUCUCGAUUAGCAUGUGUAAAAAUUAGUGUAUAGGGUGAUUGAUUAUAAGGUGUCUAAUACGAAAUCAUCUAUGGAAUGUUUCACAUUGUUGUAAAAGAAUCUAUUGGUGUGGGUUGAAAGUUCAAUCGUCUCCGAUUUAGAGUUAUUGGUGUGGGUUGAAAGUUCAAUCUAUUGGUGUGGGUUGAAAGUUCAAUCGUUCCAGUAUUUGCUUCGACUGUGAUAGAUUUGUUACUCGGCAUCGUUGAUGAACAUAGGUGAGAUGGAUGGGAACUUUUUAUAACAAAAAUUUAGAAUGUGAUAAAUCAACUGUCAAUAUGUCGCACUAUUUUCUUCGAGUCUAAGAAAGGAAUUGACAAUCAAUUUAGAUAGCAUUAUCGUACAGAGAAAUACAUAUCCAUGUGAAAGAUGUGACCAAAUCUAGGAAUUGGAAUUUACAAUGCCACAGAUAUUCAUGUGUGAGAGAAGAAGAUAGAUAAAUUGAUAGGAUAUGAUUGAAAGAGUCAGAUUUACAUGUAUUAGUUUUGGUCCACAACCUAGAAAGUUAAGCUUUUGGAUCGAAUCAAUGCUUAAUCUCAUAUAUUAAGUAUAACCAACUUGAUUCAAAUUCAUCUAAAUCUCUAACACCGAGACUUUUAACUCUACCAGACUUGUUCAGAGUAAGAAAUUGUCUGUCUUGUUUUGGAUGUCAGAUGAAGAAGCUGAACUAAAACGAUGGUCAUAUGUGGAACUGACUGAUUCAAGAAGGCAAUACUUGAUGGAAGGGAAGCCUCCAAAGAUCACAGGAGGAUACAGAAUAUAAAGGUCUGCUUUUAACUUAAUUUGACUCUGAGAACUCUAGGGUUUGGUCAGGGAUGAGCCUAACAUGCUUUCCUCUUUAGAUUUACCAACUAUCCUCUGCAUUAUUUGCACUAAUCAGCUAAGAACCAUCUAUAUUACCAGUGCUUUCUACUGCCUGCAGAGCUUAAUGUUCUAUUCUUUGUUGUUCCUUGGUUGGUUAAUAUAGUGAGAUUUCUCGUCUGCUGAUGCUAUUCUGAUAAACCAAAUGUUGUUUACAGUUUUUGCUCAUCAGAAUACCAAGUUUCAUCAUCCUGAAUGAUUCCAUCCUUUUUCACUCUUAUCAUGUUGCCUUUGCCCUGUCUCAUGCAUUCGAAAGGCACCUUGGCAUGUACACUGGCCUAUCAGGCCCGAGUCAUAAUAUUUGGUAUCAGAGCCAACCUAACAUUUGGGCAUGGUGAGGGGGCUCGAGUAGGAAAGGACUACCCGUAGACGGAGAUUGUAACACCCCUGAUUAAUCCCAUAUCGAAAGUAGACAGGAAUUUUGGUCACUGGACUGCCUCUCUCUCUCUCUCUCUCUCUAGAUAUAUAUUUUUCCUUUAUGCACGUCAAGAGAAACUUAAUCUUCAACAAGAAUAUGAACUACGAGCUGAGAAAGAAUAAGCUCCAUAUUAGCCCAAGUAUUUAUUUUUUGUCGGAGGCGGUGCGUUAUUCUAACGCCAACUCCUUCCGUUAACGCCCGCCAGCCAUUUCUUAUUUGCGUAACUGCCAUCUUCGUGAAUGUUCUCCUCACCGUAGGGUUUGACGCCGGUGCACACUCCGUCACUUACUCUGUUCUACAGUUACGCCACGUCACCAUUAAUCAGAGCGUUUUGCGCAAUGAAUCCUAUCAUUACCAGCAAAGUAAGUAUAAGCCACUUCUUUAUAAGCCACACCACACCCCCUCUCGCCGCUCCACUCACUGUCUCUCGUCUCCGCUCUCGGAUUCCCAUCUCCCGAUCCCCUCGUCGUUAUCGUCAUUGGAUCCACCAUGAAGAAGGACUGCGGCAUCCAUGGAGAGCAGAAGCGGCACAAGCUGUACCGCCGCCUGUUCGCGACCUUUCUGAUGCUUGUCAUCCUCGCUCUCCUCGCCGUCCUCGUCGUUUGGCUCGUCCUCCGCCCCACCAAGCCCAGGUUCUACCUCCAGGACGCCGACCUCCUCCGGUUCAACCUCACCCCUGGCGCCGCCCCCCUCCUCACCUCCGUCGUCCAGGUCACCCUCUCCUCCCGCAACCCCAACGACCGCAUCGGCGUCUACUACGACCGUCUCGACGCCUUCGUCCUCUACAACAGCCAGCAGGUCACCGCCGCCACCGCCCUCCCCUCCGGCUACCAGGGCCACAACGACGUCACCGUCUGGUCCCCGUACCUCUACGGCGCCGACGUCCCUCUCGCCCCUUACCUCGCCGACGCCCUCUCCCAGGACGAGAACGCCGGCUACCUCCUCCUCUACGUCCGCGUCGACGGCCUCCUCCGGUGGAAGGUCGGCACCUGGAUCUCCGGUCACUACCACCUCCAGGCCAACUGCCCCGCCUUCCUCACCGUCGACACCGCCAAGUCCCACGGCGGCGCCCCGCCCUUGUUCCGAUUCCAGCAGAUCACCGCCUGCAGCGUCGACGUCUGACGGUGAGGCCGUUACAAUCUUGACGGCCAUCAGCCGUGACGGUGACGGUGACGGUGACGUUGACGUUGACGUCUUCUCUCUCACGUCCACAUCUGACCACGCCAUCUCCAAUUUUCGAAAGUAUUUCAAUUUGUCUAUAUUGAUUAUAAAUAUAUUAUGAAAACAGGUGGCGUAAUGAUAUUUAAGCAAAAAUAAACUGUGAUUAUGAUUCAAACAGGUGGCAACAUUUCAUGACACAGCUUGUCUAGUUAGGUGGGCUCGGUUAAGAGCGUUGGGGGCCCACUAAGUAGUUGAGAGAUUUCCACUCUUAGUAUGCAUUAAAUAAUAAUUUAAUCUAGAAAUUAAUAUAACGCAUUAAUUUACAUGAACACAAUGUUAUCAUUCAAAUCAAGUUGAUGAUUUUGAGAUUAAUUAUUUUAAUUCGUCUAUUUUCAUCUCAUCAUAAAACAAAAAAGAUUAAUAUUGAAAGACAAAACACCCGUAUGCAAUCCAAAGGAGAUGUUAAAAGUAUCUUAUAAUUUGAACUCUAAACUUCCACAAUAAAACAUAAGCUGUUAAGUAUAUUAUAAGACUUACUGACGUGCGUGAUGUGGACGCAACCCCUUCCAAGGAGAUGCUCCUUUCUAGUCCGAGUUCACAUGUAGGGACUAAGAGAGAGAGAGGGAGAGAGAGAGAGGGUGAGAAACUCUUGGCAGAGAAGCUUCGUCUCAAAAGAUGUCAUAUUCCAUCAACGACGACAACUGUGAGGCGCCGUAGUUCACGAAGUCAAAGUCUACUUUGGCAAGCAAUACAUGUCAUUCAUGUUGUCGAUUUCUCCGCAUAGGAAGUCAACAUGACGACAAUCUGAAACCCAAAAGAACUCCGCGCCUCUGCGAUGUCGACCUUCGAAGAUGACCGCACACGUAUACGGUAAAUAACUACUGCUUUUUGUUCCGUGCAUAGCACAGACUCCUUCGCACACCCAAUCGAUCGAUCGUAUUCUGAAGAAGGCUUCGUAGCAGUAUAUCGUUAACAUGUCGAAUCACAUAUAAUAGAAUUCGAAGAGCAUAAUUUAUAUUAGGCUUUGUUCCCGCACAAGUCGCCCACUCUCAUCUGCAGAAUUGGUUCCUCUGAAAGCAACUCCCUCCCCAACUCCACGAAGAAGACAUAUCAUUCAUGGGGUACACACAAAGACUUUGCGGAGUUAUCACAUAGCUAAAUUUGUGGGCACUUCCAUAUGUAUACGUGUUGAUAGGUAACCAAGUAGGACUCCCUCUGCCUAUUUACCAUCGCGUCUAUCCAAAAUAAGCUACCAAUCUCUCUCCGCGAUCAUCCCAACCUUUUUGACUCCGCCGCACGCGCACCAAUUCCCCGAACGCGUCGCCUGUUUCGCCUUGUCACGCGUUUCGGAUUCCUUCGCCUCAGGGUUUCGCAGGAACCUUCUCAUCUCUUUCCUUCCCCUCCUAAUAAUGAACCUCUCUAUAUAAAGACCAUGGCUUCCACCAUCUCAUGAUCCACCGCAGCGUCACCCUCUUCUUGUCUCCCUUUGCGCCCUCUUAUUAUCUGAUUUGCUCUCUUUGACCCCCAACCAUGUCAAACUCGAAGCAAGGCCACCUGAACGGAGCCUACUACGGCCCUCCGGUCCCUCCGACGCAGUCCUACCACAGCGUGGGCAGCCGCUCCAGCUGCGGCCCCUGCUGCCUCCUCAGCACCCUCUUCAAGUUCAUCAUCUCCAUCGUCAUCAUCGUCGGCAUCAUCGUUCUCGUCGUCUGGCUCGUCUUCCGCCCCCACGAGGUCAAGGUCUACGUCGGCACCGCCUCGCUCACGCAGUUCGCCUUCUCCAGCAACAACAACAGUCUGCAGUACAACCUCAACCUGGACAUGAGCAUCCGCAACCCGAACAAGCGGAUCAGCAUCUACUACGACUACGUGGAGGCCCGAGCGCUGUACGACGGAUCGAGGUUCGACUACGACGUCCUCCCCACCUUCUACCAGGGCCACAAGAACACCACCAUGCUGUACCCGGCGUUCCAGGGCACGAACCUCUUGCUCGGCGACUCCGUCGCCACGACCUACAACAGAGAGAAGCAGGAAGGCUACUACUACGUCGACGUGAAGCUUUACACCAGGCUGAGGCUGAAGGUUUGGAUCUUUAAGAUCCAUUACAACAAGCAAAAGAUCGACUGCAGCUUGAAGCUUCCGGUGCCCGGGAGCUCGGGCAAGUUCGAGGGGACAAAGUGUGAUGUGGAUCUCUUCUGAUCCCCUCACCUCCACAUGGAUAUACUAUUCAUUCAUUGUUUUCUUUUGCUCUUUGCUCUCUCGCGUUUAGCAGCAGACUGUCUCCACCGAUAUGUUUCCUUCCCAUUAUAGUUUUUCUUUCUCGUAUGUACUAUGUCUUGAGUUCAUCAGUUGAUAUGCAUACAUGUUUUAUCUUCCUCUUCUUCUUCUGAACCUUUUGUUGGUCUUCUUCCAUCGGGUAUUAUUUGAUAGGCAUCCUUUAAAUAUCAUGCAAUUAUUACAAUUAGGAAGAUUAAAUCUGCAAGAAUCGUGAUUAGCAAGCUUACAACAGAAGCUAAAAGAAAGGGCAAAAAGAGACUGAGAUCCUCGUGUGACUCGGGCCGUGUUAUCUUUUACCCUUCACAAGAUAGAAUAUUAAUUGCUGUGCACAUCUUCAAAGCAGCUAAAAAGGAGACGCCUUCGAAGGAGCCUAAUCGACACGAUUAGGCAUCACUGCCGUGCGAUUCAUAACCAACGACUCUGAUCUCACGGGAAUUACGACGGUCAUCAUAAUCUUCAUGCUUUUACCGUACACAAAUCGUACGUCCGUUAUUAUCAACGGCAAACUAGUUUUAUUUCUUGGUUAAUCGACCUUUUGGCGGUUAAUAGCACCUAUUUAUGUCGCUUUGUUCGUCACGACCUCAGGCACGACUGCCGCCGGAGCCCCAACCGCCCCUUCUCCAGGUCGUACGCCAUGUAGUAGUCCUGCUGCUGGAAGUUGCCCAGUAUGAUCGCCGGGCCGCCGGCGUUAUCCGAGGAGGCGCCGCCGUCGCUGUCGGAGACGAUGGUGAGGCACAUUGCCGCCCUAUCCGGCCCCGUGAACGCGAAGUAGUUCUCCGGCGGGAGCCGCAUCUCGGCGUGGCCAUCGAAGCGGAAGGUCAGCUCCGGUAGCUCCACCUCGGCCGAAUCCGGCGGCAGAGCGAAGCAGGGUCGCAGACCCGUCCGGGCCUCCACGGCGGCGGACCGGUUGUACCGCCCCGCCACGCGGUUCACGAACGCGGCGACCAGAGGCUUGAACACCGGCGGUGCCAUGUACGUGAACGUGGUGCCGGAGUCGACGAUAGCGCCGCCGUUGCCGCGGGAGUUGGGGAUGAGGGCGGAACGGGGGACUCCGACUUUCUCGCCGCCUACGGCGAUCUCGCGCAGCCCGACGUAGUAGUAGAUGGAGAAGGGCGACGCUUCGUCCGCGCCGGUGGCGGUAUUGUUGAGGAAGGGCGUGAAGCUGAGGCCGCUGGAGGUGUCGUCCUUGGCGGGGUCGAGGACGAGGAAACCGCUCUCGACGGCGUCGUCGUCGUAGCGCCGGGAUAUGAGGCAGUAGGAGAAGCGCUUGAGCCCCAUCUGGGAGGGGAGGGAGGGAGCGCCGCGGCCGAAUCCGGCGACGCCGGCGGGCUGGCGUUCGGAAAGGAUGGAGCAACCGACCGCGAAGUCGGGGACGGUACGGUGGGGGAAGGCGAGUGUCUCCAGCAUGAGGAGACCGGCGGUGGAGCCGGAGCCAUAGAUGAUGGCGUAAGGUGGGCAGGGGACGGCAGGGCAGCCGUCGUCGGAGGUGGAGUUGCAGGAGGGGCAGCGGGAGAGGCGGUCCCGGGGAUGGAUCCAGAGACAGCGGGGGUUGUGGCAGCCGACGAGGCGAGUGGAGGAUGAAGACUUGGGGAGGAAGGGGAUAAUGGGGGCAGCAGAGGGGGAGGAGCAGCUCCGGCACUGGUAGGAGGAGCUGCAGGGGACCCAGGUGAGGUGGCUGCCGGUGUCAAGGAGGAGGGAAAGUUGCUGCGGCGGGGUGCCCAAGGCGAGCGUGAGGGAGUAACCGCCGUAUGAGUGGGGGAAGAGUGGGGAGCGAUAAGGAGCAGGAGAGGCGUCGUGGCGGCGGGGGUUCUUGAGAAGGGAGGCGCGGAGGGCGGAGGCGGAGGCCAGGGCGGCGAGGCGGUGGAGGGAGUCGGGAUGGGGAGGCAGAGGAAAGCGGCUGAGUUGAAGGGAGACUGGAGUAGAGGAAGCGGAGAAGAGGAGGAGGAGGAGGAGGAGAGACAGGGAGAGCAGGAGGAGAUGAUGAGACGACGGCAUUGUGGUGGUGGUGGUGGAGAAAUGGAAGAGGGAAACGCUAGUUAUCAGCCGAACGAGAGAGUGUGUGUGUGUGUGGGAAGAUUAUACUUUGCUUGCCUCGGAGCGCUACGGCCGAUUGAGACCGUUGGUUGCGAGCCUAUCGAGAUGGCACCGGUAGCAUUGGGUCCCCCGCCGGCUCCCUUUAAAUCACGUCAACACAUCUAUCUUUUCAUCAAGAUUUGUGCCAUCGAUCAGAACGCGUCGGAUCCGCUCAGCGCAGAUUUCCACGUCAGCCUCAUGGACCCAAGACGUGGGUCAACGCUGCGGGUCCCAAGAGAAGGGUCAAACUUGAUUCUUUCACCGCUUGAAUGCAUCGAACAGUAACCCUAUAAAUCUUGUCGAGGUUCAAAACACACUGUGAUAUUAAUAUACAUCGUCUUCCCCAUCCUCCAUCCCAGGCGUAAUAGAACAAGCGAGGCUCAGAAGCAAAUCCAGAAAGGCCUCGACUAUGAUCCCGUGACACCUCUUCUCGUUCAUCUUCAAGUACCAGCACAGCAUCUCCUCGAGCCACUGCACAUCCACCAGUCCAUGGGCCAUCGCCAUCUCUUCCAUGGACCACCUGAAAUCCCAGUACGGGUCCUCCGACUCCACUUCCAUGGCGAUGCUUCCUUCGAAGGGAAGGCUCUCAGUCUUGGCCGCCGCCGCCGCCGUUAUCGAGCUCGUGCUGUCCGGCUCGAAGAAGAGCCGGUCCGAUCGUAGCCCUCGAACUACCACGGCCUCCACGCCCUCGGCCGCUGAGUCGUCCUCCGACGCCGUCGAGAAGCACGAUUCGGUUAAGUCCAAGUACGAUGAACCCAAGCCGUCGGAAACUUCAGCGCCGUCUUCCUUUCUGAAUGAGUGGGUCGUUGGGUGCUUGCAAGAGGGCCAAAGCCAUGAAGCAGGAGGAGAAGAGAGCGGUCUCGCGUCUCCCUUUCUGCAGAAGAGAGAGAUAAAGCCAACUUUCACGGCCAUUUGGCUUCUUUCUUACGAGUGGAAUGAACGGAACUGCGUGUGCUAUGGGUUGCUGGUAAUCUGACUCUUCCCGAGGCAUUAAUAGAACUGGAGAGACAGGAAGGGAAGGUGGGAGGGAAACUGGAGAAAGAAAAGAACUCGGAGGAUCACCGAACGUGGGCAAUCCCUGUGUGCAGGUGGCACGACAAAAGUAUUACUCAAUACAAGCAGGAAGAGAGGUCGCCAUUGGCGACAGAUUCAGUGAGAUGCUUUGAUGAGUACUUAAAUUGUUUGUGCAUGCUAACAGCAUACAGCUCUAAUCUGUCAUGUCUCGAAUCGAGGUUCGUUAGCUGGCCAUUGGCCACAGCUCUCUUAACUCGCCAAUGGUGGAUGGCCACGCUAGCUUACAUGUUGCGUUUUCUUCUGCUUUUGCUUGUCCUGUGUCGAUGUCUACGCUGCUCCAAUCAUGGAAGGUCAAGCCGAAGAAAGGAAUCGAUUCUUCGAGCAAACAUUUUGUGGUGUGUUUGUCUCUGUCCUCUCCGGACAAUGCCCACCCAUCUGAGCUCGAUGGCAUCUAUCAUUUCUUCCAGCUCUGCACAUGCCCCUUUGACUGCCUCUUCGUGUAUCCACGGCUGGCUUCGCAGAAGUACGUUUGCCUCUUAGCUAACACGGGAGACCAGCCGAAUCUAAGCUUAUCCAAACUUCAUCAUCGCAAUAGAAUUCUUCGUGGAAGUAUGAAUAAUGAACACAGACUAAGACACGAAGGAGACGAGAAAAGGGAAGAGGGAAACAGAAGGCAUAUAUAGGUGUUCAGCUGGGGAACAUAUUUUUUUUGAUGAAGAGGGAUGCUGAAUCUGUGAUCAUAUUACUUUUUAGAUGUCGAUUUUGAUAAGGGUAAAAAUGGUGACGUGACGCGCCACGACGUCAGCCACGCCAGGUGGACGUACUUUCCGAGGAAGCAAGCAUUAAUGCCGACUUGAUGUGCGCCAACGUCACCAGCUCUCAGCCAACAACCUCAGCAUUUGACUCCGUGCGCUCGAUCGAGGCAAAGGAGCACGUCGACCAAGGCGUGCCCAUACCCUACGGUAGCCCGGUUCUCCACGCAACCCCAGUGGCAAUGUCAGACGCCACGAGAGGUACUGUCCUGCCCCUGCAAGCAACCACAUCAGGUAACAUCAAACUCAUCUAUAAAUACCCCAGAGUUCUAAACGAACAAGGAGGGAGGGGAGACGAACUCACUCAGACACAAAACACUCAGAUGCUCUUCUUCUGCCUCAUCCACAAUCCCCUCCACAUCGCUGAUUUGAUCGUCGGAGGGGUCGGGCCGAGCUCCCGGCCCGACCUGUGUGCAGGUGGGAAGGACGGGAUCGCCCCUUCCCGACGUUGCGGCGGAGCUUCCUCCCGACCCGAACCACUGUGCUCGGCCGCCGGGAGACCCCGAGGGACGCCGCCCGAGAUCCCCCACAUUCGGACUCCCGAACCGAGCCGCGUCGGCCCCGAGGCCAUGGCUUAAAUAGUUGCACACCGCAAGAGACUUCAUGAGACCAUUUUAGUGUGGUGUCUUUGGAGAUUCCCUCUCAAGUGAUUCAAAUCAAAUUUUCUGGUGCUGAAAACACCAAAAUUCAAGUCGAAGAUGUCUUCUGAUACAUCGGUACCUCAUUGAUAUCUCAGUUGCAAGGCCAAUGUCAGCAUUAUUGACUCAGUCCACGGGACUGUCAUUACCUAAACGAUGGCACUGAGCGAGCCUCUCACUCGUUCAUAGUGAUCAUCAUCUUAGACAAGUCAAAGAAGGGAUCUUUAGACUCUGUCCUCGUCUGCAUCCACUUCCGAAAGCAGCUUUGAUUCGAACUUAUCAUCACUCUCCUAACCGGGCAGAACACCGUGAAGCCCACAGGAAAGACAAGUCAAAGAAGGGAUCUUUAGACUCUGUCCUUGUCUGCAUCCACUUCUGAAAGCAGCUUUGAUUCGAACUUAUCAUCACUCUCGUAACCGAGCAGAACACCACGAAGCCCACAGGGAACCUCGAGGACCCGAACCUCUAUCGUAGCAAAGGGAAUUAUCCAUCGAAGAUCCCAUUUUUUUGGCAUUGAAUUCUUAGCUAGCAUACACAAGAUUCUCUUAGUACAAACGAAUAAAUCAAUAAACAUUUGUUUUUAUUUCGGUAUCAGCAGACUUCCAAGCCGUAGAGGACUCCGGCGUGCUUUCCGUCGUCGUUGCCGAUGAAGAAGAGCUCCUUCAUCCGUCGGAACGCUUGCCAGGUUAGCAAACUGUCCGACCCCGCCUGGUGGCACCGCCCCACCGCCCGGUCGACCUGGAGCGUGCUCGCCACGCGAUCCAAUCCGCCGUACAGGCUGUGGCAGUGCUUGAUCAUGUGCUUCAUGUCGAACACCCUGUCCCCGAAGAAGACCCUCACCAAACCCAUGAAAUCGCCCAGAUUGCUGGGUAAUCUGCGGCAAGUUAAGAUCUUUAUCAAGUACCCGAAGUCGUACGCACUGUGGAACGUCACCCAGCUCACGGCCGAGUCGUUGCACACCAGGCCGGACGACAUCAGGAGCUCGGCGAAGCGCCGGGAGUCGAUCCCCCGCGCCCGGUUCUUCUCGAAAUCGAUCCCGUUGGACCUGAGGAGGUCGAUGGACUCGGGGGCGUAGCGGUCGCGGUAGAUGUCGAAAUCGCGAAAGUUGAACUCCCAGACGUAGCGGACGGAGCCGCCGGCGCCGAGGUCGGGGAGGUUGCCGGCGGCGUCGGAGAGGGUGAGGCCCACCUGGAUGAGGUGGAGGGCGUCGACGUUGGCCUUGAGGAGGGCAUACCGUUCGGCGGGGCAGAGGAUGGCGGGGUGCUUCCGGGAGCGGUGGACGACGCCGGGGAACUCCGUGUCCAUGGCGGCGAAGGGGUGACACUCGACGGCCUCGCGGAUGAGGUCGAAUUCCGCCUCCAGGUUAUCGGCCCACACGGAGCGGACCUGGACCUCGAUCGGCUCUUUUGCAUCUUCCAAAGAAGGCAUCUUUUGGCCGCUAAUCUGCUUCGAUCCGGUCGACUCCUACCGGUUUCCUUUUUCGUUUUCACCGCCGGCUCGAUUCGUCUUCCGAGAUGCUCUGCUUCGAUUGGUGAAGUGCGAGGGGGGAGGGAAGGGGGGUUUUGUAGUGGGGAAGUGAGAUGUUUCCAAGAAGGCGGCCGCGGAAGAGGAAGAGGAGGAGGGGGACGGAGUGGAGUGGACACGGUCAAUGAGCCAGAUCAGGAUUGUAACUGACGGGAGGCGAUCGGGCACCAAGUCAUCAGGACCGUCGGGAUGUUGUGCCUCGUGGAUGGAAAACCGGCGGCUGUGGGUCAGUGUGGGCUGUGCAGUACAAGCGACGGCGAGUGAGGAAAAGGCCCAGGGUACAGGGAGGCUCGUACAGGUCAUGCGGGACCCGAAGCCAUGAGUGUGGCUCCCGGCAACAGCGUGCGGGCGGAAUCGGUGUUCCCUGUCUUGACGGAACGCACGGGGUGGAGAAAGGGGGUGGUUGUGGUCGUGGGAUGCCUGUUCAACGAAACGCGUGUUUAAUGGCGACAGCAGCCGUGGGUCGGAGGAAGGGGAUGGUUUUGACCGGCUUCGUCUACGUUCAUCUCAUAUAUCUUUAAUGAAUGUUACUCUCCCUUUGGACAGUGGAUUCGAGGAAGAGUGCAUGAACACAGUGGCAUCUGUUCUUUCGUCAUCGUUCAAUGCACUUAAUUGGUCAGCAAGAUGCGUAGUUCAAUGAAACUUCAGUCUGUGGCUGUCGAGCAUCCUCAACCACUCAUCAGCACGCACGGUUAUCCUGAUCUGAUAAACCAGUGCCGUCCGAUUCGACCAUCAUUAAUCCAAUAAAAAAAUCAUCGCCACUACGGUAGUCUUUAACGUAAUAAUAUUAUUCAUGAAUAUGUAAAAGGAAACCAAUGUGGUUAAUAAAUUAACUAGAGACAAAAUAGGAGUCAAACACGUUGACUCAGUAGGGCGGCCGAGUCUUGGUCUUGCGUGCCGGAAAACCCAUUUCCCUGCAUUGUCUUAUUGACUGCUGACUCACCGGUGAGAAGUCUCCUGGUUGGUUCGCAGAACAUCUCUUUCAAGCUGCAAGCAUGUCUCCACCGUAAGCUUGGACGAGUCACACACACCCCCGAUGAGACAGGCUGAGUUUCCAAGAUUGACCUCUCUUUAUCUCCCAUUUAGAUAUUGUCAGCUUUUUCACAUAUUUGGAAAAGGAAUAAACUUGUGCGAUCUAUGGCCAUUCUUUUGUCAGAUCCCCCACAUAUCUAACGAGGAGUGACUAGUGUGGCUUCAUGUAUCUCGGGGACAACAAAAUGAACUGAACUCUCAGAAAUCACAACCACAACUGAGAUUUCGAAUUCACAUUUCGGGUUCCCUUUCUGUCUUCUGCAUGUAUGAUAAUAAUUCCAAGCAACAAGCAUUCACUGCUAAUGUAGAUUAAUCAUAAGCAAACGACAGCACGAAGUAGUAAUUAGUAGUACUCGUCAUGCACUCGAGCGGUCCCAUCAGUCUGUCAGGCUUACAGUGCAGUCUGCCAAAACACAGUACGAUGUGUUCAGGCAUCGAUACUCUCACGUACCUAACGUAGGAACCUCGUGACCUACUCGAAGAAGGUGCCUUCGGGAGGCUGGACGAGCUUUCGGCUGUGUGGCGCCGCCAUCUCCUUCUUCAGCUGGGUCAGUAUGUCCUCCAUCGUGUACUCUCUCUGCCAAUUGGCUAGCAUGUCAAACUUCCUCGCUUCCACCUGCACCAACGCGCAGGCUAGCUCAAGAUCAUCAUCAGCACCAACACCAAAAGAAGAGUAGAAUCGGGAUGGGGUUACCGCUCCGGUUUCAUGGUUGACACAAGUCAGGUUGAUCCUGGAAUGGAAGCGAACACUCGGGGGCUUAUCCGGGUAAUCUUUAUCACAGAAGAGCUUCAACUGGUAGAUUCUGCCUUCGUGCACAGACUGCAAUCAAUACAAAAACCCGGCAUCAGAAUGUUUAAUGUGGGCAGGAGAGGAGGAAGAAGCUUAGGAAAUGGUGAUGCCAGAUUUGUAGGAUACAACUCUCCUGUGUCAAGUAUGACAGAUCCACUAUGGGAUCAAUGAAUGCUGGGUUGCAGAGCACACUAAGAACUAUACUAAAACGACGUUAAAACGAUCAUAUAGCCAGUGUAAGAAAAGUAACAUCCACUAGAUUACUAAGUUAUACCUUUAGGGAAAUCUUUAAGGAUUUAAAGACAAAAUAUGAUGAAAAACGUAAUCUAAACAGUGAGGCAAGUUGACCAGAUCUAGCAUGACUUUUUCCAAAGCUGCUAAUCUCGAUCGAACGAGUCGAAUGCUUUGACUAUUUCAGUCCUCAUUCACGAGGCUGGUCAAUGUCUACAGCCACAAGCUGACAACAAAGGUUGUAACAAUUUUGCGCAUGAUCAACAAGCUGACAACAAGUCUCUCUGAGUUUAAACCGAUGGACAGGUUGUUUUCUACCAUACUUAAUGGCGAGAAAAUGCAGAACAGAAAAAGGAAAUCUAAGUUAAACUCGUCAGGUACAAAAAAAGAAAGGCAUACGUUGUGCGGGCCGACGAUCGUCCCAGUCCAAGACCGCAUGUAGAUGUCGUCUCCAUCGUCCAUUCCAUAACUCACCGUGCCAUCCCCGAUGCCCUUCUCACCACGUUCGAGCUCUUCCAGCAGUCGAAAGUUUCGAGGUACUGCAAAGUGCCAGCCAAACCAAGUUACAACAUUCUCAGUUGGAACAACUAAGUUUCUUACUUCCAAGUAAACAUGAAUUGAGUUAUGCUACUGAGAUCAUCAAUCAAUUAGGUUCGAUCAUGUCGCAGCCUUAUGCUCUCAUGCCCCAUCCAUACAUCCAGCAACCACCGCCCAAGUGACUGCUAGAAAUAGGACGAUGCAUGCGACUGGAGGCGCAUACGUACAACGGUUACCUACCACCCAUCGCAACGCAGCGAUUAGAUCUAUGGUCAACGAUGAACCACGCACACAUCGGAUCAGUCAUAUAAACAAACACCUCGGCGUCGGAGUUGAUCGAGUGGUGUUCCGCACAAACAGCGAUCAAGAGAAUCAUGAAGCAGCGGGAGAACAUGAACACACGGUAAAAAUGCAAAGAAGGAAACAGAGAGCUUCGGCGAUCAUUACCCACGACGCUCGAUCUCCCGGUGCCGAUCGUCAUCCCUCCUCACCAACACCACGAAUGUGGAGGGAGACGGAGGUGGGCGGUGGGAGUAGCACUAAAGAACGAGAGGUGGCAGUUGGGCACUGCUUGAUAUCCGAUCCAACGGUUCUUGUUCGCCGUCCGGACCCCACGGCCGAGAUUCCUCGCCUGUCCUUCUAGAUCUCGCUCGUCCGUCGAGGAUCGGACGGUUCGCGUAAAAUUUACGCGAACAUUUGCGCCUGGUGCUGUCCAUUUCUUUUAUCUUUUCUUCCUUUCUUUUUUCCCUAUUUGUGAUGCCCAGGUCCCACCAACGGAGAUUGUGAGGGAUUUGAAGGAGGUCGGUGAUCGUUCUUGGUUGCUCGAGGUACCUUUUUCGGAUUCGAAUUCUGUUUCCAGUUAGAAGGCGAAAUGUAUUGCGGUCUAAACUCAUCUGAUGAUGAUGAUGACGUUGGUGGGUUCUUUUCUUGCUACUAUUAGGGUUUCGCGUCUGCAAUUUUUACUCGAUUUCGAUUUUUGUUUUUUGAUUCGAAUUCUGUUUCCAGUUAGAAGGCGAAUUGUAUUCUGGUCUCAACUCAUCUGAUGAUGGUGAUGAUGUUGGUGGGUUCUUUUCUUGCUACUUUUAGGGUUUCAGUCUGCAAUUUUUACUCGAUUUCGAUUUUUGUUUUUUGAUUCGAAUUCUGUUUCCAGUUAGAAGGCGAAUUGUAUUCUGGUCUCAACUCAUCUGAUGAUGGUGAUGAUGUUGGUGGCUUCUUUUCUUGCUACUUUUAGGGUUUCAGUCUGCAAUGUUUACUCGAUUUGGAUUUUUUUUUUUCGAUUCGAACUCUGUUUCCAGUUAGAAGGCGAAAUGUAUUCUGGUCUCAAUUCAUCUGAUGAUGAUGAUGAUGAUGUUGGUGGGUUCUUUUGUAGCUACUUUUAGGGUUUCACUUCUCCAAUUUUUACUCGAUUUGGAUUUUUUUUUCGAUUCGAAUUCUGUUUCCAGAUAGAAGGCGAAAUGUAUUCUGGUCUCAAUUCAUCUGAUGGCGAUGAUGAUGUUGCUGGGUUCUUUUGUAGCUACUUUUAGGUUCUUUUGAGCAGUUGGUUUUUUUCCUUCGAUAUCGAAACUCUCUGUCAAUCAUAUGUUAGGUUAUGAUAAAAUGGGGUUAAAAUGGAGAAGUAGAAUCAAGAUUGAUGAUUUCAUAUUUCAUGUUGGCAUUGGAUCAUAUAGGCUGCCUUCGCAUCACGUGUGUUGACAAACGAGGCAUCACAAGUCCACAACUGACGAUAGGGUUUUGUCAUGUCUAAAUCCAAAUAAACAGUAUUGAUGAAUCUGUGUUCUUUUAAAUUCGGCUUUCAGUUCUCCGCACAAUGUGAUUGUCUCCAACCAGCAUGGCAUGAGUAUACAUACUGGUAACAAUUUGAUGAUGCAGGGCAGCAUAUAUUCUUGCUUCUGUUUGUCAUGCAUACCACAGACUAGGGUUGAAGAGCCACUUGAAAUAAUUUGUCGUAAAUGUUGUGCAAUCCCUGAGGUCAUUUUCUUAGUCUGGUGGAUGUUAGAAAUCCAUUAGUACUUGUCUACGUACUUUCUCCUUCCAUUCCUCUGUAAAAUUUUCUUUUUGUAAUUUUGUAGCAUUGACCUUUUAUUCAAGUGCUUGGGAAAUUAAGUGAAUCUUUCUUCCAUCCGAUUUUGUUAGAUUCUUCCUCUUUUUUUUUUGUUUCGAGUUCUCUAUAACCUGUAUUCAAUGUACAUCGACACACACCCCUGCUUUAGAAGCCCUGAACCUAACUUUGACUAUGACGACAGGUCAUAGACAACUCCAGAAUAUGGGCCUUUUAAUUUGUUAUCCUAGUUUUUUUUUUCAAUUGGUGGUCCAUGUCUUCAAGGGAAUCCAGAGAUUGAAGUAAUUUGGACAAAGAUUAAUGCCAAAUACCACCUACUGUAAUGACAAAUAUUAAUUUUGGACAACAAUUAAUUGACUUUUCCAUUCAUCAAAUGAAUGGCAAACAUCUAUGGCUGCCACGACAACUUUUAGCCGACCCUUCCAAUGAUCAUUACGGCCCAUGCAUUUCCUACCAAUGAUACAUAAAAAAUGCUUGUCAUGCAUUGUGCUUGUGUGCCCGAGAUUUGAUGCACUGCAUCAAUUUUGUUUUAUAGUAGGUAUUUUCUUUAGGACAAACAUAAGGGAUCCGCAAUGAGUACAUUGAUCAGUGUUUAUAGAACAAUAGCCUUGUCAUGUCCAUUUUUGCCUGAAAAAUAUAUAUUAGUUACUUAUAAAGAAUAGUUGUACUUGUUUUCUUCUCUAUGUAUAUUGUGAUGCAGAUGAAAGAAUGCUAAUAGACUAUACCUUAUUCUCGGAAUACGUAUCAAUUGCAAGUGGCAAUGUAACCCUUUAUUUGUUUAGGUACUCUCUUUUCUAUCGUAAAUUGUUUUGGGAUAUUUAAUAUGCCAUUUUUGUUUGGCCUACUUGUAAAAGAUAAUGGAAGACUUCAUUGGGAUCCAUUUCAACUCAACUAUUAAUUAAAUAUACACAUCACGACCAACUUGUAUAGCUAACAGUUGACAUGCAUUACAAGCAUUCGCUAAUCUGCCAUCAUCUAGUGUCUACCUGACAGCUCCUCUAGAGCAGCUUAUCUUCAUUGCAAUGUUGCACUCUUGAAUGUUAUUUAUCCACCUUCUGUAGACCUAAUAAAACAUUUGCUGAUAUGAAUGCUCUGACAUGGCCCUUUGUGGACAUGCAAUUAAAGAAAGUAGUUGGUGUUUCACUUGUUUGUGUGACAAGGUGUUGUAUAUAAUGCUUUCACAUGGUGCUUUAAAAUCCAUUGUGACUGGAAGAAUCAGCUGUUUUGGAAAUCUUCCUUCUUUUGUUUCAAAUAACUCCGCAGUUAUGCAUGUGGGUUUUUAACGUUGUUGAUCUGUUGUUGAGAAGAAGGGGUUGAUGAAAGAUGAAGAAGAAACGAUAGUUUGGUGACAAUGAUGGAGCACGUUUUAAGAUGAGGAUGCCUUCUACGUGGAGGAGCUGAUCAUGGAUGUUCUGAUUUUGAUGUUUGUACUUCUUGACUUUUUCCUUAUUUUCAUGUAACUUUAAAGACAGGAGACAGGAAACAAAACUUGCACUUUUGGUUCUUAUUGUGGUUUUUUUUUUUGAACAGUUCAAGCAAAUCAACCAUUCAUAUCAACAUGAACUCCAACACUAGUGACGACUUUCUUGAUGACUGGCAUCAAUCAGUGAAAGCUUGGAAGAGUUGGUGAGCAGGAGAAGGCACCCUUGUCAGCUGAUGAGCAGGAGAAGGUGCCCUUGUCUGACAAUCUAUUGGUAAAUAUUAUCUUACUUAUUUCUUCUUCAAAUUAAUUGGAUUCCAGUGGCUCUCUUAGUGUCAUGCUUUAAAUUUCUUUUGUCGAUGGUUUCAUUAGAUGCAUGGGCCAAAGGUUGCUCUGGGAAACAUUAUGGAGAGAAUGAUACAUUAUGUGUAGCAACAGUUUUAUGAUCCAGUGGCAAAAAGAAUUCACUAUUGCAGAUGGUUGGACCAUGGUGUUUGUGUACCAUACUUUUCUUGUGUAUUAAACCAAAGGAUGUGUGGUGAGGGAGGCAUACAUUAGUGUAUGUCCUCUGACCUUAUCACUGUCAUUAUCCUCAACUGUCCCAAUAAAACUCACAUUUAUUUGAUUUUAUUGGUUAUAAAUCCUAUAUAGUCUUUUCUUUCAAUGCUUUCAACCACCUAACUUCCAAACAAGCACCAUAGAACUCGAGAAAAAUAAGCGAGCUCGAUGUAGUUGGCCCAUUUGUAUACACUUAAAGAAGUGCUUGACCAUUACUGGCCUCCUUUAUAGUUAAAUAUGAUAAACAUUUUCCAUUUUAGCCAUAUUAUACAGUGAACACAAGCAAAUUUUCUAUUAUGACUCUACUGAUCUGAAUGUUUUGUUUUCAAAUGAUUAGAUAAGUGCUGAAUCUAUACUAUAGCUUUUGAUGGGAAACUUCGGGCUACUUAGGUUCACCCGAGUACACAGUCUUACGGCGACACAAGAUAGUGAUCUAUAGAGAGGGAGAGAGGGAACAACAACAGCAUGUAAGAGAGAACUAAACUAGGAUCAAUAAGGAUAGAAUCGCUAGGAGAAGAUUGGAGAGCAUAUCACAAAAAGUGGGCGGCACCAGGAAGUGCAGCCACCAUCAGCUUUUCCUGUUCCUGCUGGCAGUGGUGUUGCCCGGGGGGAAGUCGAGCAGCACCGUGCUCUUGCACCUGGGGCACUUGGGGUCCUUCUCCGAGAGCAUGACGUACAUGAGGCAGUGGGGACACCCGGCGAGCACCAUCGAGGUUGCCUCCGGGCUGUUGGACUUCUGCUCACCCUCCGACGACACACACGAGCUCGUAGGUGAUGUCGAUGGUGAUGACCAGGAAUCAUUAUCCUCCUCCUCCUCCUCGAUCACUGCCCUUGUUGACGGCCCCCCUCUUGCUCCCAUCUGCUUCGCUGACAGGUUCAGCUUCAGGUCCACCUUCGGGUUCUUCCCAUGAUUGCGACUCAUCUCCGCUCCUUUGGCAGAAGCAGUCAGCUAAGCCUACAUGAUGAACUAGAAGUGAAUCAUAGAAGAGUCAUAUAUAAGAGUCACAUGGUGGAUGAGGAGUCUCUCCCAACCUAGCAAGAGCGUGAAUGGUUCUUGGAGUCUAACCAAGGUAUAGGAUGAUGGAGGAAGCAAUCUUCCAAGGGUGUCCUGGUCUUAUUUGCUGGGCUGGUGGUGUAUAUAAUAAGGUAAUUAAAGGUUGAUGGGUUUUCUUUAAUACAACAGCAGAUUACUUUAUUGUUUCUGUUGUUUCCCUCCCUCUUCUCUUGCAUGCUUGCAUUUUGUUCACCUGUUUUGGAGUAUAUGUAGCAUUGAGAAAAGGGAAAAGCUGGAGGCUUUAAUGGAACUUAAAUCCUGGGUGGUGCAAUUACAAGUUGCAGUUCUCUCUUCUCUCUGACAUACACAUUUUGAAAAGAAUUGGUGUGGCAGAAGACUGUAGGUUCCUGUUAGACUAGGCACAUGUGCAAUGUGGGAAUUCAAGCACCUUGUGCUUCGAACUGGGUUGGAACGGGUGGAAGGAAGGAAGCGGUUCCUUUCUUGCAGUUGAGUUUGGCUACCCUUGUAAAUGAAGAGAAGAUAAGGGAACAACAAGCCAUGAGGAACUCAUGCACAGCAAAAUCUUUACAGAUAUACUUUGGGCAUUCAAAUCUUGCCUUUUGAGUUAAAGAUUUUAGUCAUGUCCACAACCAUUGAGUGACUUCAAAUUUCGUCAGUGAACCACAAAGUUAGCAAGUCUUUGUGUUUUGGUAAGUUCCAUCGUUAUGGUUCUCUUUUAUACAAGUUCUUGACAGAACAGUAGUUGAUAUAUAUAUAUAUAUAUAUAUAUAUAUAUAUAUGGUAUUUCAAUAUUACAUUUAUGCAUACAUUAUGACACUCUGACCCUUUGUCGCUGUGCUACUACUGUCUUGAGACCUCAGUCAGUGUGCAGUGACUUUAGUUGGAUGGAAGUUUAGGGCUGUUAAUAAAUGGAAGUCUCUGCACUCCACUCUUUACUUUGACAUUUUAUAUGUGUCAUCUCCACUUCUUUCCACGGAAUUCAUUGAUUAUAAGCAUCAGUGACUCCAAUAGUUUCUAGCUAAGCAAGUAAAUGGGAAUAAAUGACUUCUGUUUAUCUCAGUAAAUGGUCUUAAAUGGAUGCAUUUACUUUUGAAUAAAUGAACUUUAUUUCCAAUCAAUGAAACUCUACGGCGAGUCUGGUUCGCAUCUCAAAUCUCUCUGUAGACAUGACAUGAUAACCUCGCACUAAUUUUCAUUCAUGUAAUACACCCAGUGUUUCUAGUUCAUCGAAACAUUCUUUAGCUUUUAACUGAGUAUGUUUGUAUGAUGCUCUUUGAGGAAACAGAUCAGAGAGUUCUGAGUCCUUUUAACUAUGUGCUUGCUUCGUUAUUUUCCUUGCAGAUAUCAUGGCCAAGCAGCAUCUAUCUAAUCAGAAGCUGGCGUUUGCAGCUGGAGAAUUAGAUGGUCUUCUUAAUUUCCCCAUCACCCUCCAUGUUGUCAUGCUGGAGCAAUUUUAAUACGCAGCAUUCACAAAACCCACCAAUAUAAAUGGUUCUGACUUGGGGCUAAUGACUUUGUGAUGAGUUCGGAGUUCAGCACACAGCACAAGGCUGUGCAUGUGCUCAUCUUUAUUUCUGGUCAGGUUCAUGAGGGGGACUUGAAACACCCACCAGGGAAGACAAGAAAUUUAACAAAGCAUUGAUUGACUGAAAGCUGGAAAGCUUAAUGGAUUCAUUAUUCUCCAGCUUGGAGAGAUCUAGUCUCAGAGCUCUUCAAUGUACAGAUUCCAGUUCUGGAUGGGGAGUGGUGGUCAAAGCAUAUGUCUAGAGAUUAAAAACAACUCCCCUACUUCUCAUUCCCUAUGUUGCCACUGUGGACUUAUUUGACAAACGCAGCAUGGCUUCUCUUUUUUCUUAAAGGUUAGGAAUGAUGUUUGCAAGAUUAGCAUUUGGAGCACAAGAGAUUGAUGAAAUGAGGAGAUCGAUGGAUUGCGUUUGAGCAGGUGAAUAUGAAUAGCAUUUCUCUCUUAUAUAUAGACAAAUUAUAAUACAUGUCCUAAUUGUUUGGGGUUGAUUAUUUGGGAUUUUUUUUUUCCCAUCAGAGUCAUGUACAAGACGAUCUCAAGCUUAACUCAAGUGUUAUCAUGAGUUAUGAUGGUUUCAACUUUGCUCACUCCUGGGGACAUAGGAAGGAUCAGCAUCUGGAGAAACAGAGGAUUAGAAACAGCUGGGUGACUUUGUCACAGUCCAACUCACUUCCUUAUAUCAUGGAGUUUUAUGUUGAAGGACUAGAGUCGGUGAGCUUAUACAAGUAACGUAAUUAUACAUAAUUUAGGACAAACAAAAAAACAGAGGGUUAAUGAGAAAUGAUGGAGGUGCCGUAAUGUCCGACACUUGGUUUCUACCGGUGAAGGAUUCAGAACUUAAUUCAAGUGAGGAUGUGAGCUUGCAACAGGUUGCCAAACCGCAUUCAUUCCAACCGGUAGCUGCUCCGCCUCACUCAUCCAAAAAGCUCGCGUCUGCUGACACCGGAAAGACGAAGUGAGACUGGUGGGCAUUAACAACCGAUAUGAAUGAAAGCUGAAGCGGAAGUUUCGGGUCAACUCAUGCACAGCAAGCAAUAACUACAGGAUGCAGAGAAAGAAAUAAACACAGGUAUGCAAGUUUGGACUCCAAUGAAGAAAGCAAGAUGCGUAUUUUCUGGCAUAUAACAAUAUUAAUAAUCUAAAUAGAUUAUGACCGAAUUAUUCAAAUAUAUAAAAUCUUGUAAAUUUUUAUAUAAUAUUUUAAUUUAAUUUUUUUUACAGAUUAUUUCUGAUGACGUGAGAGGAUCAUUUUAUAUUUAUUUAUAUCUCUUGUUGGUGAACAAAUAUGCUGGGAGUCAGCACGGCUAUGUUCAUGGGCCGAUAUCGGGAGCUUUCUAUGGGGUGAUUCGGAUGAUGAGGUACUCAAACUCUCGGAAAGGAGUGUCGGUUGGCGUUGGUCAGGAUCGGGGUUGAUUGGCAACUCCUUGGUGUCGGGCGAGUCGCGCUCCCGUGCCAAGUCUUUCACCGUCGAUGAGUGGUAGCUCUCCUGCAAAAUGGCCUCCGUCGGAUGGUACCCGACCGUGGCCUCUCCGACGAGCAAUUAAUAACGAGAGAGAUUGCUCUUUUCCUUCUCUCCUUUUCUUUCUCCCUUGAUCGGAGGCUAGCCAGGGGUUUUAAACUGUGGCACGAAGGUUGAUGGUGCCACCGUAAGCCCCCAGGACGGGACAUGUGGCGCAAGGCUCUAACUUGACGUGUUAUGUUCGCUGUGAUGUGUUCAGGCUGUCAAAAUAUAUCAUAUCAUUUCUAUCCUUCACCACUCUUGUACUAUCUUUAUCAUGUCAGAUUUGUUUUUAUUCACCUCGCCCUUACUCGAUAAAAUAGAGACCACAAUAGCAAGAACACAAGCGCUCACUACAAAAGAGAAAGGAGGAGAGGAAGCCUACGAGCAAGAUGGUUAUUAAUGAAAAAAUUAUGAUUUUUUUAACAUUAAGAUAUUUUGUGAGAAUGUUUUUAAAUAUAUUUUUUUUUAACUAUAAAUUAUUAUUAUUAAUUUUAAGGAGGAAAUCUGGCGCCAUUUUUAGUCUGCACGUUUGUUGAUUUUAAAAACACCCAUGUAUCCGAAAGCGUUUUCUAGUUAUCCAAAACAGUUAUUUGAUGGUUUACAACAUGUCAUAAAUCCAUUUAAAAAUAAAUAAAUAAAAUUGUAGCAAAUUCAAAACGUUUUCUUGUUUCCCAUCAUUCAAAAAGAAGCGCCAACAGUGAGGCUUGUUCAAGAGCUGAGGGGAUAGGAAGGGCAAAAGAAUUCCAUUAACUUGAAGCUUCGGGAGCGGACGGUGAUAAGUCAGAGAGAGAGAGAGAGAGAGAGAAGGGGAUCGAUCUUCGAGAGGGGAUACGACCCCGUCGCCUUCGUCGCCGGCCAACUCAGAUCCUUCGCCGAUUCCUUCUUCUCCUCUUCCUCUUACAUGAGAAGAAGAUCCGCGGACCUCAGGUAAAGAUCUCUUCCCCGUCCUUCCACUCUUUCACGUUCUUUCCGAUCCUUCUUUUUUCUCGAUCGUGUCAUCUCGACCGCUUUUGGUUGAUUUCUUGGUCGUGAUCGCGUCGCCUUCAUGACCGGCCAACUCAGAUCUGGCGCCGAUUCCUUCCCCUCCUCCGUUUGCAUGGGAAGAAGAUCCGCGGACCUCAGGGAAAGAUCUCUUCCCUGUCCUUCCCCUCUUACUCGUUCUUUUCGAUCCUUCUUUUUUCACGAUCGUGUCAUCUCCACCGCUUUUGGUUGAUUUCUUGGUCCAUUUAUCGUGCUCCGCAUUUGAUUGAUUUCUUAGUCGUGAUCGCGUCGCCUUCAUGACCGGCCAACUCAGAUCUGGCGCCGAUUCCUUCCCCUCCUCCGUUUGCAUGGGAAGAAGAUCCGCGGACCUCAGGUAAAGAUCUCUUCCCUGUCCUUCCCCUCUUUCACGUUCUUUCCGAGCCUUCUUUUUUCUUGAUUGUGUCAUCUCCACAGCAUUUGGUUGAUUUCUUGGUCGAUCUAUCCCGCGACAUGUUACCUUUUGGUAGACAAGUUCGAGGGCUUGAUUCUUGAUUUCCAAUUGGUUCCUUCCUUAGCUUCGUUCCCGAUCUUAGAGCUCAUGCACACCCCAAUAGUGUGGUUCUACCUAAUCGGAAUACACAUUGUAAGCUAGAAUCAUCAAACUACCCUUAAGUGAGCAAAAUGAUGAGUCCCGUAGAUGUUGAUUUAGAUUCCCUUUUCUGUUCAUUGGAACUCGUCAGAGAACUUUUCUGAACUUUGAUCGAUUUUAUAAUCAAUAUUUUAUUGAAUCUUUGUGGUGUUUUCCUGCGUGUAGAGGGAAAAAAAAAAAAGAAAAGAAGAAGAAACAGUUUACCAAAAUUUCUAAAAGUAAAAAAAAGGAAACUCUUAUAUGAAAUAGUGCUAUCUUAUGUUUUUGUGUUCGUCUCAUGUUUGGAAGCAUAUCAUCAACCCUUUGGUCAAUUUUAACAUUCACUUUAAGUACUACUUUAUUUUUUUUAACUUGAUUAACUACUUGUAUAUUUGAAUUCUUUCUAAAUCCAAUUCAAACAUCUAUUUACUUUUGUGUCUAUUCCAAGACUUUUAUGUCAAAUAUACUUUGUUUAAAUUAAUUGAAUUUAAUGGUUACGAGAAGUAAACAAAAAUGAUUAAUUGCAAUCCUUAUUGCCAAUAUGAUUGUGCUUUUCUGGUUUGCUUGUGUUGAGGUUUUUCUGUAGCCCAAAGAAUUCCCGUAAAGGGAUAUUGAUGCAGGAAUUAUUCAAUGUAUCAAUAACAAAAAUAUACUUAAAUUUUUUGUCCAUGUUUCUUGAUUUAGAGAAACUGUUUUAAGAAACAGUUUUUGGAGAAUGAUGGCUAUAACGUGUCACAAAACCAAUUUAAGAAACAAGAUAUUAACUAUGGUUGCAUUUUGUAAAUGUUUUCUCGUUUGCCCCCCAUAAAAAAAAGUAGUAAACUCUUUUCCGAAUGAAUUCUUUGUCCAUGUAUGUCACUUUGCUUUUUAAUUGAUUUCUUUGACGUUUUCUGUCUUAACAUGUUCUUCGUCAUCGUCACAUGACGUGGUUGGUUAUUCGUUGUCCCAGAUCUUUUAAUAGACACGUUUGAGGGCUUGAUUCUUGAUUUUUUGAGUUGCAAUUAUUGGUACUUUAAUCAUUUAGCUUUCGUUCCCGAUCUUAAAGGUGCUUCGCAGGAUUUCUUUUCCUUCUCUAGCCUGGUGAGCGCAUUAGGGAGUUGGUUGUACCAAUCUGAAAACGUAUGCAAAAGUUAAAAUCAUCAAACUUCCCUUUAGUAAGCAAGCAAAAGGGGGUGAAUCCCGUAGAUGUUAUUCAAAUUGCGUUUUCUGUUCAUGCUUUGGAAGUUGGCAGAAAUUCAUGUUUCUUAGAGUGUUUACGUCUUCCCCAAAGAAGGGGGCACGACAAAGCAUGAGCUUUGGAACCGUUCUUCAUUUCAGGAAUUUGUGUUUUUUUGGAUGAUUUGGAAGAUACGGAAGCGUGAACAAAAUGGUUCUUGGAUGGCAGUAGUAUUGUUAUGAUAGAUUUCAUUUUGGGGGGCAAUAAAAACUGAAAGAGGAAUUAGUCUCAAAUUUGGUCCUUGGCUUUGCUUGGGUGAUUUUGUCGAGUUUAUCCUCGCUGCAUGCUUUGUCUUGCCUGCAUAAUGUUGUGCUAUAUUGCGAAUCUCAUCUCCACCAAACCUGUCUUGGAUAUUUCUUAGAUAUUUCACUUUAGGAUUUCCAAACAGAUGUAGGGUCUUUUUUGCCUCAACACUAGUGUAUUAUUAUAAUUUUUGGUUGGUUCGAAGUGGUGUCAAAAGUGCCUAAACAAGUACGGAGUCUGGUUCUUAUUAUGUCAGUAUGGUCACAUUUUUUUUCUAUGGAUAAAUUUGAUUGGGGUGUGGUUUUUUCUAUGGAUAAAUUUAAGGAUUUUUCUGUUCUACAAAGUGCUUCUAACUAACUGUAAUCUGAGAAAUUUGUUGCAGCUGUUCCGCUAAGCAAGGAAUUAUAAAUUUUAAGAGCCGCAAUAAAGGAAAAAUAAACAGCGUCGAACUUGUUUAUCGAACUUGUUUAGCCAAUGUCACAUUAGUAACUUCUGUGGUUUUUCUCUCACAGGUCUGCGCGUUGUUUAGCCAAUGUCACAUUAAUAACUUCUGUGGCUUUCCAAAAAAGGAUUUCUUUUUUUCGAUUUUUUUUUGCGACUUUCAAAAUUUGCCCUUUCUGCUUCUACUCUACAUUUUCUGUUCUAUCGUUUUCGAUUGUUCAUAUUUUUAAAACCGGUUCAAAUAAAUUCGGAAUCAGCAUCAAAAUUUUAUUCAAAAAUCUAAAAAUCAAUGGAGUAAAAU
rnacentral:lncRNA from 1 species